UUUUUUUUUUGAGUGAUCGAUCAUUGACUUGUGGAAAGUUCUUUCGUCCUGCUUCGUCAUCUAGUGCUUUGUUUCUUGGGAGGAUGAACAAGGUAGGCAGCAGCAAAGUGCCUCGCAAGAAACUAGCAGGUGUGAAUCAGACACGAGCCUCGUUCUAUGAAUCUUUGGUUAAUCCUCUUGGUCAAUUAUAGGAAACAGUACGAGUGCUUCUCCAAUACAAUUCCAAUGUGUCAGCACAUGACACAUCAGUUACAGUACAGACUACGGAGACGUGUAGGAGGCCACCAUACUGUCCAUGCAUUGUCUUAGACGACCUGACUUCACUCUUCGGGCGCCUGUGAAUCAGAAAUGCAUAAUAGGAUAUCGAUGGCAUUCCCAAGUCUAACUAGGAUUCUUUCAUUUUUCGAAACCAGGAAUUCCAACUAUCCGAUGUGUGAUGGCAAGAUAAACGGGAAUUCGUUCGUAUUCCCUACUCUAUAGAUCCAAAUGCUUUGCACUUCGUCUUCACACGUAAGAGGUUCCUUGCUGCUCUACAUAGCGCAAAAUGUAAUAAUGUGCAUGGUUAUGAGGAUUUUUUUUUCAAUACACAAAAAUGGAAUGAGCUGGCCUAGCCUCAUGAGUUGGGCAUCUGUGAUGGUUUCUUGUUUUGUUUUGUUUUUUUUUUGGAAAAGACACUAUAAGGUGUCUCAAAUCUAAUAUAUAUUAAAGAAAACUAGGCAAUUUAACAAACAACAAUCAGAAAAAAAUGAAAAAUACAAAGAGAUUCAUCGAAACUGUUUUCUCCCUUCGAAACAUGCUACUCGCUAGAGGUUGAAUUGCACAUUAUAGAGGGAGUAGACCUAGAUUUCCCCUGCAAUUGAUGGCCGCAAUAACCACUUGCUACUGACGCCUAAGAUCUUGAAAAAAACUCGGAAGAGUAUGGACUAGGGAUCCAUCACAAAACAACGCAGGCGUGAUUUGCACCAGAGGGUAGAAGGUGCCAAAUCUUGCCGAAGGAAACUGUCAAAGAAGCCAUUACAAUUCUUGGCACCAAAAACACUGCCGGACUCCAAUAAAAGGAUCAGCAAGAACUGCAUUUUUUGUAAGAACCUCAGAUCUGCUAGCCCCCGCCUCACUAAAUUGUUGCCGCCGCUGAAGAAAGCAUCGUCAAGGUGGAGAAGAACCCAUAUGCCGUUUUUAUUCCGAAGUGACAAUAAUCGAUCCAAGCAUAUACUUAUCAUCAGCAGCUCGCCGGUCUUGCCAUAGAAAAACCAAAGCCUCCUACAUCCUCCUCAUUGCCGGAGAAGAGAAGGGAGCACCAAAAUCUUAACACUAAAAAACUCAACAUAAAGAAACCUCAAACCUAAGAACAAAAACUCGAUGUACUAGCACUAUUACUAGGGAGAUGGGCACCCAUUCAUGGACACACAUUCAUUGCAGCUAGUUUAAGUUUGCGCAACCGCAACUUACUGCGUAACAUGAUGCAAUGAGGUAGUGCCAUGGCGUGGACUAUGAUUCUAUGAAGCUUGUGCUAUAUAAAGCUCAUGGCUUAAGAUAUAGGCUAGCUAUUAGAUGGCAUAUUGGGUCGGGUUGUGCUGUAUUGGGCUAACUGAAGUAGUCAGAUAAUACUAUUUUAGUUUUUGUAUAAUACACUUCUGAUUAUCUCUCGGAGUAUCCGUAAAAUUCGCAUUCGAUCAGAUCAAAUUUAAGAACUAAAUUUAAAUCCGUACCGUACCCACCCGGCCAGUAUGUGAUGCUAGCUUGUAGGGUGAUCUUAACUUAACCAUUCAAUCAAUCCUUUUGCCUCUUAUAGCUACAGCUUGUUACACUAUCUUAAUCCUUUGUGACUUGGCUACUCAUGUAGCUUCAAGUCUAUAGACCUCAUCCAUAAGCUGAGGUAGGGCUUUCAGAAGGGCUUCCCGACGCUUACCAUGAAGCUUGUUUGUGCAAAUUCCAUGCGGUAGAUUAUCAUGCCCUGUUUAGCACAUAGCAAGUUAAAAUCUUGAAGUUCUCAUUCUCAUCAUAGCGUGGACCGGGGCGACCAUUCGAGCUUCAUCCUGAAAGCUCCCAAGUUCUUGAAUUGGCCUGAGCACGCAGUAGGUAUAUCCUGUAGUUGUAGCCUCAUCUAAGCUUCAUCCUGAAAGCUCCCAAGUUCUUGAAUUGGCCUGAGCAAGAGGCAGUAGGUAUAUCCUGUAGUUGUAGCCUCAUCUGCAUGUGGACCUGAUGUAGUGUCCUGGUGGGAGUAUAAUCGACCUAUGGUCUGAACUUAAGGCAGAGACAACUGUGGUGGUAUAGUCCAGCGCUAAAGAGUUUGCGGGGGUAAUCCAACUGGCCCCGCAAAGUAAUAAAAUCAUUUAGUAGGCCAUCCUCAAUGUGUCGUUUGUGAUUGGUAUGUUGACCUGGCCCAAGAUAUCUUUUUCGAACACGUGAGAAAUCUUUAGUGAGGAAGGAGGAAAGUCUGUUGCCCUGAUUGUUAACAGACCAGAUGAAAAGUGCAAGAAAUAUGCCUUCGUGGUCUCAAAAUAGUUGUGCAAAGAUAAAAGAAAACCGCUACGCAAUGGGAUAUAGAUCCAAGAUGAUAACAUAUUGUUACCACUAAUUUUUCUUCUACUACUACUACUAAUUGUUCUUCUUCUUGUACCACUAAUUCUUCUUCUUAUUCCACCACUAAUUCUUCUCUCUAUGAGUGCCACAUCAUCACGCUAUUUCCAAUACAUUAAUUUCGUUUUAUGGUUUCUUUACAUACAAGCUAUUUCCAAUACAUAAUUUCAUUCCACGGAUUCAAAUACAUAAUUUCAUCACGCUAUUUCCAAUAAUUACGCUAUUUCCAAUAAAUAAUUUCAUCACACUAUUUCCAAUACAAGCGAAGAGACAGGGGUAAUAAUAUAAACAUAGAUGAGGCCAUCCCUUCGUUGCCCCGCAAAGAAAUGUAAAAUCAUAAAGCGGGCAUCCAAUCUCUCCAUAAGUGCCACAUCAUUGCGCUAUUUCCAAUAAGUUAAUUUCAUUUCAUGAUAACAUUUAUUUUGUGAUAUCAUCAUUAUAUACUAGGAAAUUCCAGUCUGGUAAAUAAGUAGUUAAACAAGACGAUCUGGUGUACACGAACAGACACAUGUAGUUGUUACUCAAGAAGGUCCUUUCUACAAAACAUCAAUACACUGGACCUUCGCCAACCGCUUCCACUCGGUCAUCAUUUGUCUUUCUUGGAACUGCAACCUCUGCCUCGUCCAUAACUUCCCCCUUCUCUGUCUAUUACGAGUCCUCCAUUGUUCUUCCUCUACCUUCUUUUUGGCUGUCCAGUCAAUCUCUCAUCAAUCAUGGUUCCUUCCUAGGCAAAUCUUAUGCCACAUCUUGUUGUGAGCAUCCCCAAUAAGAUCAGUGAUGCAAGAGAUUUCAUCAGGUUCAAAGCAGUCUGUAAGAGUUGGAACUGCACUUGUUCAGGUGAGGCACACCCGUUUGACCCUUGGAUUCUGAAAUCUGAAGAUAUCGGUGAAUUUGGAGCAGUGACAUUCGCAUCCAUCUCGGAUCACCGGCUUUUUGAGGUCUCCUUUCCAACAUUGGCUGGGAAAAGGAGUAGUUUGAUUGGUUGCGGUGGAUCUGGACACCUAGUCAUCGUAGAUGACAGGGAUGGGAGCUCUGUGCUCCUGCUGAAUCCUUUGUCUCCUCGGGAGCACAUUAUCCUUCCUUGACUUCCAAAAUGGUGUCAUAUGGUUAUUGUCGAAGCUUGUAUCUUGGGUUUGGAAACACCUAAUGGCGCAGAGUCAUUUCUUGUGAUAACUAUCUUUUGGCCCCUGAAAUCUUCUCCAUCGCUAGGGUCCCCUGAAAUCUUCUCCAUCGCUAGGGUCAUUGCCUGUCUGCAUCUGACAUUUGGGAAGCCAAUUCGACUAGACUACCAUAUCUUCUGAAGAUUUCUGGUGCAGUUUGUUCUAAACACAUGCGGAUCUACUUGGGGCAUCAUCUUCCAGCACCUUCUCAAGCCGUUGGACUCCGAUUAUCAUGGGUUCUUGACAUAAGCAACUCUUCUCUACUCCAAGGUCAAGACUGAUUGUUCUUUGUUGUUCGGGAGGAGAGGAUGCACAACAUCGGGUCCUGGGACAUCAACGAGGGAGAUGUUAAGGUGGUGGAAUUUACUCUGCAUUCAUUCGUCGGUGACAUUUGGCAGCCUAUUCCCUGGGAGACAGCUCCAGAGUUCCAGAAUAAGAUCAUAAUAUUUGGACCUGGAAAGUGCAUUGUUGUACAAGAGCAUGCCAUUUGUGACUUGCCUAACCUGAAGGGAAAUCACAUUUUCUUCCUAGGAACUUAUCGGCAUGAUGAAGAGGAGCAAUACUGGAUCUACCAGCUGGGAAUAAGAAAUGUGGCAGAUGUGAACAAUGAUCCUACAAUCCGCAUUACGCAGGUUCCUAGGAACUGGAUUUGGUCGCGAGGAAUAUGGAUGUUGUCUAGCUAUUAGUAGUUUAGUGAUCUUUGAUUUUGUAACACCUGUAACGCAUUUGUAUAUAUACUACCAAUAUCCUUAUUAUUAGUGUUCCUCAAUUAUGCAGCGUAUCUGAAUUUUGAAUUCUACCUUAGCAAUAAUAACAAAGUUCACAGUAGCAACCAGCAGCAAACAUCACAAUAGCAAUAUGUUUCAUAAGAUGAAAUUUCAUAGCCAUUCAUCAUUACAAAGUUCAUAAUCAUCAUUAAUAGCUAUCAUAAUUUGCCAGAUAGUAUCAUCAACCACCAAAACACAAGCAUGAUCCCACCUCUCAACUGUCUACCUAGCAAUAACACCAAACAUCACAUUAUGCCUCGUCAUCAUCCUUGAAUGACCUUUUAUAUGCGGCCUGCUGCAGUGAUUCCUUGACCUUCUUCACCACAAUGGUGGCAUGAUCCAGGUGUCCCUUCACCUCCUGCAGCUCAGUAACAGUCACUUCAAGCUCCUUGUAAUCCCUUGCGCAUUUUUCCUUCCACAUCCUUGCAUCAUUUUCAUCUUUCAGAUUCCUAGUAUCAUUUCCCAUUUUUAGAUGAGACAUCAGAGCAUCAUUUCUCAUUUUCUUCCUCAUGUUCAUUAGGGAAAUGGUUGCCUCCCCAAAGUAUCACUUCAUCAAGUGCAGCUCAUAGGCUGUGUCAUUGGCCACCUUCUUAGAAAUUCUCCAUGCUUUUUCCCCCGACCUUGCUUCCUCUUUAGCUUUUUCCUUCAUCUUCAUCAGCUCCACCAGAAUACCUUUAGUUCUAGCAUCCUAUUCAGGAUCAACCUACCUGAACUACGCGCAUUUCAUCCCUUCAUUCUAUAGUCACCGAUUACGUUCAUACAAUUCACCAUUUACAAGUUUACAACACUACCAUCAAAAGUAGAUGCAUGGUUUAUUAGAAUUCAAACAAGUUGUCGUUUACCUUGCAACAACAUGCAUACUGGCACCCAGGGUUGGUGCCUGUCCAAUCAUACAUCACAUGGAAAGCCAACCCGUGCUUGCACUUGUUUUCAGGAUCCACAUCAAUAACAUCAUGAUCAGGUGACGAUGAUCUGUUGCUAUUAGAAUCUACUCCAAACACUGGUGGGUGCUAAUAAAAUACAUGAACUAUCAAAUUAUGUUUCAAAUUUUCGGUCGUUUGGCUUUUCUAGAUACAUGAUUUUUUCUAUGUACCCAUGGAAGUUGAUUCUAUGAGAGAAGUGAUUAUGUUUAUGUGGCUAAAAGUGAUUUGAUAGAAAUCUAGAAAUCAUAAUCUAAUAGUACCAGGUUGAAAUAUAAGGGUACUAGAUCAAAAUCUAGAAAUCUAGAAAUCAAAAUCUAAGGUCACCAUAUCCCUAAAUCCAAAAAUCUCCUUCCCUAGGAUGAUAGGGGAAAGUAGCGGCACAAAACAGGGGACUGAGCUAACUGGAGAGGGUCCUGCUCCUCCAUUCGCUGCUAGGCUCGCUAGGAUUCGCCAUUCCCGCCAUAGGCGGUUGCAGAUCUGCGCACCCAUGCUAGCUCUAGUCUUUGCCACAGCCAAUAGAAGCCUGGUGCUGGCGAGUCUCUUGCAUUAGUGUACGUUGUGUCGAGAAAUGAGAAAUAUACCCCAUGCUUGGGCCUGCAACUGCCAUGUGGACCACACUUAUUAGAAGCAAAAUAUGUAAAACAUAUCUUAUCUAAAAAACAUACAUAGUUCAUGUCUUAGUGGUAGUGCUGUCUCAGCACAAUCAAAGAGGUCACGGGUUCGAGCCUUGCUAUGGACACUCAUUCCUUUUAAUUAUCCUUUCCUUUUUUUCAUCUCAGAACUUCUACCACCAACUCACCUUAAACUUACAUGUGGGACCUGGUCGUGGUAAAGUCUUCCCAUUCGAUCGGUAACAGGUUCAACCCACGGGAGGAGCACGUUUUCCAUUUAUUUUACCACCCUAUUUAUCAGCUUAAACUUACAUGUGGGACCCUGGUUGCUUUAUGAUGUUUUCGCCGAGCUUAUAUCGUCAUAAAAUCACCAUGUAACAUUGAGUGAUGAUUUCUUUUGGCUACAGUAGCAACUUUUAUGACGUUCCGUAACUUUGUCACUAAAUUUGUUCGGCUGUGAAACUUUAUGACGUUUUAAGCUAGAACUAUGACAAGAACAGAUUUGUCAUAAAAUUUUCGUCAUAGAUCAAUAUAUUUCUUGUAGUGUAAUGUCGAAGUUUUCGCUUAGCCAUAACCACCAUGUAGGCCAUGUUCUCCAUUUCUGUGUAAAACAUCUUGGAGCCACUCAAGGCUUCGGAGACAUAAUAGAUAGGUAACUGUGUCAAUUUGUCAUCUACCCUUCAUUCUUCUACCAAUACUGCGCUUAGAGCUGUAUCCGUUGCUGCGAUGUACAAUAGCAAUUCUUCCUUCGGAGACGGGCUUGUCAUGAUGGCAAGCUUCUCCGGAUACUCUCUCAGCUCUUCGAAUGCUUUUGGCUGCUUUAGGCCCCAUUGAAAAUUGAUGUUUGAUCUUAGGACCCUGAAAAAUGGCAAGCUUCAUUCUGCUGACUUCGAGAUGAACCUUUUGAGCGAUGCUAUUCGGCCCAUCAAUUUUUGGACCUCUUUCCUGGACUUCGGAGGGUGCAUUCUACGAAUUGCCUCAAUUUUUUCUAGGUUUGCCUGAAUCCCUCUCUUGGAGACCAUACACCCCAGCAGCUUUCCCUUUCGAACUCCGAAGAUACAUUUCUUCGGAUUAAGUUUCAACCCGUACUUUCUCAUGUCGGUGAAUGUCUCCCGAAGGUCUGUGAUAUGGUCGGUGUCUUUGAGGCCAAUGAUCACUACAUCGUCUACAUAUGCCGAAGCAUUCCUGUUUAGUUGCGUGUCGAGGCUGACCUUCAUCAUUCUGUUGAAAGUUGGGCCAGCACUCCGCAGCCCCUCUAGCAUUCGAACGAAAUACACAACUCUGAAGGGUGUUGUGAAACCUAUGUUUGCCUCAUCUGAGUGUCGCAUCCAUAUCUGAUGGUACCUUGAGAAACAUUCUAGUAGACUUAACAUCUCGCAGCCUGCUACUUGAUCUAUCACUAUAUCGAUUCUUGGCAAAGGAAAUGGGCCCUUUGGACAGGCCUUGUUCAGUUUUGUGAAAUCGAUGCACAUUCCAAUUUUCCCAUUCUUCUUCGGUACCAUUACGACGUUUGCUACCCAAAUUGGGUAUUGCACUUCUCUUAUUAUUCUGGCAACUAGCAGCUUUUGCAGUUCCGCUUCUGCUGCUCUUCAUCUAUCAUCAAACAUUGGCCUCUUUGUAACACCGUUGGUGUUAGCAUCGUAAUUAAAAGUUAAUCAUCUGCAUAAUCAUGGUCAUUGGCGUAAUUAUGUGUGCAUUUUUUCAUGAAAUAUUUUUUGAGAGUGUUUUACCUUAAUUUAUGUAAACUCUGUGAUGUUUGUAUUAUCUAUGCUCACCUUCAUGUGAGACUUGUGGUGUAUUGUUCGAUUGAGAUAUUCAGUGGUUGUAUCAGGCUUGACCCGACUGACUGUCAGAUUACACCGUUUUAAGUGUGUAUUGAUAGGAUUAAUCAUUAAGAGGAUGGUUAGCGCACUUAAGCCGGUUUAAUUUGGACAGUUCUGCCACACUUUGCCUCUGCAUUUUUGGUUUCACCUUCGGAUCGGUGUUCAAGUCGUGUUCGAUGACGGUUCUGUCGACCCCCUUUAGGUCACUAGACGACCAUGCAAAAGCGUCGUGGUUGUUCCUCAAGAAUUCCAAGAGACGCCUCUCUUCUUUGUCUUCCAUCUCCUUCCCAGUUGUCACUAUUUUCUCCGGGACAUCUUCGCACAGUCGUACAAUUUUUGUGUGAUCUAGGGCUUCCAUUCUCUCCUGCUCUGUAUGCUUCAUCGAUUCUCUCAUCUGCUUCUCAGCUAGCUUCUUGGCCUCAGAGCCUUGCUCUUCAUCUUGCCCUUCAUCAAUGACAUGGACUUGCCUAUUCAAGGUUGACAUGAUUCUUUCUACUUUUCGUGCUUCGUUCUAAUCCCCAUAUACUGAGAGUACUCCGGCUGCCGUAGGUAUCUUCAUCAGCAAGUACCCUUGGUGGAUGGCUACCGUGAAACUAUUUAUUGUGUUCCUGCUGAAGAUUGCAUUGUACGGGUAGUUGAAAUCGAUGACAUCAAAUGUGAUGACUUCUAUCCUCAUCAUCGGGCCCUGUCCGAAGGUGACAUUUACUUUGAUUUUUCCUGGCUUCAAUUCUCUUGUUACCGAAGCCAUGCAGUGGAUGUUCUGCUUUUUGCAAGUCUUGCUUUGUGAACUUCAUCUCUAUGUAACACUUCCAUGUCAAAAUAUCAGCGGAGCUGCCAUUAUCGACAAGGAUACGGACAACAUCAUUUCCGAAGAAAUGCGCUGAGUUUUCCCCGAUGUUUGCUCUGAUGAUGAGGGGAUCACUGUGAGGGUAAUGCUGUAGUCUGACAUCUGCUGUCGUGAAGGAGAUUGGUAUGUGUGACCAAGGCAAAUGGAAAUAUUUCCCUGAGCAGAUGUGAUAUACACUUCGGUAAUAUUCUUGCCUCUGCUUCUUACUCGUGUGCACCGGUUCGUUUGACCCUCCGGAGAUGGCAUUGAUGAUGUUUACCAUCCCAAGGGGCCCACCUUGUUCUGAAACCCCUUCGACUGAUGAAGUAUUGUUCUCAUCCUUUCUCUUCGUUGGGAGAUGAUAGUUGGAGGGGCCAUAUCCCCCCGACACCAUGCUGUUUGGCCAUGUCGGCACAAAUACCGAAGCCUGUGUUAGUUGUGGUGGCGGCGGUGGCGGAGGCAGCUGACGGUUGGAUUAUGUGUUGCUGCAUGAACAGUUGCAUCAUGUACUAUAAAGAUGGGUACGUGAAAGACUUCGGCGCCUGCAAUUGCUCUGUGGCUGCAACAUGGUUUAAUGUGCUUCCUGCCGAAGCCCCCUUCUGCUCAUUCGCAUACUCCUUUUUCUGUAUGGCAGGAGCGCACUAGUGCGUGUGAUGCCCGUUGUUUCUUCUGUGAAGCCAAUAAUAAUACAUUUUCUGGUGUCCUCUGCCUUCUCUUCCUCCUCAUCCUACUCUAUUGUUUCUGCCACCCCCUCGAUUGUAAUUGUAGUUAUGGUUGUGCCCCUCGCUUGGCCCUCCAGAAACAUUGACUGGUCCGCCUUGCUGCUUUAGAGGUUCAUUUUGCCAUGGUUUCUGAUACCCCCACUGAUUUUGCGUUUACUUCUGCUUCUUCUAGGCGUUGAGGUUGUCAGUUCUCCUCCUUCAUCCCUUUGUCUAACUUGCAAUAUUCUUGCAUUACUUCAAACAGCUCCUGGACAGAGUUCGUCCAGUACCUAUCCAAGAGAUCCUGGCAAGUCCCUACCUUCAAACCCCCUAUCGUUGCAUCGAUUAUGCUGUCCUUAGACACCCUCGGAGCUCUGGUUGUCAUUCUGACAACCCUAUGCAUGUACUUCUGCAAGGUUUCCUUCUCCACCUGGAUGCACAUAUUGGUGAAGUCGUUUGAGUUGAGCUCUUCAACCUGCAUCCCCUUGAAACUAGACAACAACCUAUUCCGAAGCUGGAACCAUGAGGUUAUUUGCUCCUUCGGUAUGUUUGUGUACCAAUACUGUGCCAGCCCUUUCAGAGCCAUUACGAAGGCCUUUGCUUGUAGCAUCCCGUCCGUUGGUUCAAUGGUUGCUUCAUAUUUCAUGAGGAACUCCUUCGAAUCAGACUCACUGUUAUAUUGCGGCAGGGUCAUUGCGUUGAACCUCAGAGCCCAUGGAGUAUCCUCCAACUCCAAGGCUAGCGGAGUUGUGGGCGCUGCGAUGUAUCUUUGCGGCCCCCUCGGCUGCAUUGUUCCCUAGAGGUGAUGGUGCAGGUUAUGUUCUUCGGGAACGUAAUUGUGCUAUUGCAUUUCGUUCAGCCUGGUUUGCAUCUCUUGGAUGGACUGCCACAACUGUGCCUCGGACACUGUUUUCGAAGGUUCCUCCGCUUCAUAUUGCAUUGCCUUGGCCAGUUCCCUCUUUUUGUGCGCAAUUUGAUUCUACAGCGUUCUAUACCUCUGCUCUACCUGCCUUAGCUCUUCUUCUUUGGCUUCACUGGACGCGGCUAGUGCUUUGCCCUUCGACUGCCUCGUGCACCCCUUAGAGAUUGACAGGCGAACUACCGCUGCUUUCUGCGUUCUUGCUGCCACCUCAUCGACCAUGGCUUCAAUUCUCCUGAGUGCUGCAAUGUCUUCGACUGCUACUCCCAAACUCUAGCUUACCUCCAGUCCGCCGUCGGCCAUGUGCUCGACCUCAAUAUCUUCCUCUGCUUCGACUUCAGGGUGGGUGACGAUUGCACCUUCGGUUGCAUCCCCCAAAGGGACCUUCUUCUUUGAUGGAGCCAUGUGGUCGUGAGACUACCACGAGGUGGGCACUAAAAACUGUUGGUGGAAGACAACUCCGGGAUGGACUCCGUCACAACAGACUCUAAAUUCCGCUCCGAAGGGAAAACCAACCCGUUCAGGCGAAGUCAGUCAUUCAAGUGCAGUCAUUCAAGUGUCUAUCCUAGCUUCUUCCUUCCGUUCCAAAGUUAAAUGCAGAAUGGACAAUGAAUGCGGAACAAUAAAUGCGAAUUGCUUUCAUUAACUUCGGACCGGCUGUCCCAUCAAUUACAGUGGCGCCGCUAUUUAUUGGGAGAUCAACCGCCACAAAGUUCAAUUACAAUUUACUGUUACCCAACGGCUAGAUUCCAAGAAUAUUCUAGGGUACAAUAGGAAAUACGGCCUUCGUACGGACGCCUCCAGCUAGCCCCUCGUACGGGUCUGCCUUUCCGCGUGGUGGACAGCGUGGCCUCCUCCAUUUCUUGGGCCUUUGGCGCCUGAAGCGCUCAUCGUUAGGUGCCAGGGCAGCUCUUUUCUUCGGUAUGGCCAAAAUCCCAACGGGGCGUACUACGCCCUCCACCGGAACCUUGAGGGCCCCCUUCGGAACCCUCGUACGCCGAAGCCCCCUUCGUACACCGGAGAGCCCCGAGCUUCCACUUGUACUCAAAUACUCAAUCACGCACAAAACAAGCCGUUAGCGCAUGACACUUGCCAGACUUCUUCCUCCGAAGGGGUUCCGAAGGUGGUUUUCCCAACAAUACCCAUAUUAUAAACAACAAGUAAGAUGGCAUAAUAAAGUAACAAGUGCACAUGACCCCCUGACCCCUGCAACUAGAUUAAAAGGCAAUAACCAUGCUAAUCUCCAACCACAGCAGCAACUCUUCAUAUGCUAAGAGCGUCUCCAAUGGUCUAGCUUAGAGCUAGCUGAACCAAUUCCUUACUACUUAAAUAGUGCAAAACGUAUGAGACUAGCGUGGAGUAAAGAGCUAGUCUCGCUCGCUUUUUUAUGUAGCUUUCUCUCACAGCAAAAUCUUCAAAGCUGUCUUCUACUUUAGCAGUUGACUUAUACAUGAGACUUACAUCAACUUUGAGCUAGCAGCUAACUUAUACCAUUGGAGAUGCCAUAAAGAAGGCACAGCAACGCCACAUCACACAACAAACAAGAUACCCAUACUAUAAACAGCAAAUAAGAUGGCAUAAUAAAGUCACAAGCACACAUGGCCCCUGCAGGUAGAUUAAAAGGCAAUAACCAUGCUGCUCUCCAACCACAGCAGCAACCCUUCAGAUGCUAAUCACACCGGAAAGAGGACAAAUGCAAUGUACCAAAUAAAGGAAAGAAGCAUCCGCAAACAUACGAAAAACACCAGUAAAGGGACAGGCUUACCCUGAGAACUUGCUGCUCAAACCCACGAAGAUUGCUGCAGGCACAAGAAAAAGCACUGUUUUCUUACUGAUGAAAGCCACUACACCCAGCACACAAACACAUCAAAGAAUCUAGUCGUCGGACAAACUCACCCUGAGAUCCUACUGACCCAAUCCAAGAAGCCCACUGCAGCCACAAGGAAGAGCAUCAGAUGCAGUCAAUCAACAUCCACGGCACCAGAUCAAGGUGAGCAAGGCGUCCGAACGAAGACAAGGCAACAAACCUUCCUGUAACGACGGACCUUCCCAGGCCUAGGUCACCGACGCCAUGGCCGCCUCUGCACCUGCACAAGGACAUCCAGAACACGCACAUCAUCUAAAGGCAAGACAAAUCCAAAGCAGAAGAAGAAGAGGAAGAUGCGAUCAACGGCCGGAGCUCAGAGAUAUGCUCGAUGCGGUUUGGGCGGGGAAACAGGUGGAGGCACGAGCCGGGGAAUCGAAAGCUAGGUUUGCAGCCGGGGCGAGAGGAACAAGAAAGUGGGGGCAAGGAUAAGGGAGGAGCGGCGAGAACAUAUCUUGACGCCGACCGGAGCGCGCAUCGAGACCCACGCUCCGAUGGGACGGCCUCGGCAUCGGCAGAGAGGAGUGGGGCGCACCAAAUCAGGGUUUCUUCCAAUGCCACCAAAUCAGGUAACACUUUUCUAUCUUGGUUUCAUGUCUGUGAUUGCGUAGCUGCAGACUGCAGUUGCAGGAUGCAGAAAUUUCUGUUAUUUGUUUGAUCCCUCAAUUUAGACAUUGACGAAACUGUUGCUAAUUUUUUUGAAGAAAUGUUCUCUCAUGUUUGAUAGCAUCGGUGUUCAGUGAGCAUGACCCCUGCUAUUGCUUAAUCAAACUGCAGCAAUUUUAGUACUGAACGUUUAAUCUGAUCCAAUCCAAUGAUUCUUUCAUUUUCUUAAUCUUGACAAUUGAUCCAAUCCAAUGAUUCUUUCCUUUUCUUUUCUUGAGGGUGGUGGAUUUGGCAGAGUCUACAAAGGGUAUAUCACCAAAGAUCUCCGCGAAGGGUUAGAGAUAGAAGAACCGCUGAGAGUUGCCGUUAAAGUCCAUGAUGGUGACAAUAGCUUGCAGGGCCAUAGGGAGUGGCUGGUGAUUAAUCUACCUUUUCUGAAUAUAUGCUGUUACGCUGUUGUCUUCACUUUUUCUUUUUGGCAUGUUUUGCUUUGCUGUUCUCAUAUGUGAAGAUUUUGUUCCUGUUUGCAGUCUGAGGUUAUAUUUCCAGGGCAGCUCUCUCACCCAAAUUUAGUGAAGUUGAUUGGGUAUUGUUGUGAAGACGACCACAGGGUUCUUGUUUACGAGUUCAUGCCCCUGGGAAGUGUGGAGUCCCAUCUGUUUUCAAGUAAUUCUGAUCCUAUUCUUGACAGAUUGUUGUUUUGCUUUCUGAAGUUUCUUGUCAUUUUGUCAUAACACUUACUAUAGUAUGCAUCUGGCAUUCUGAACUGAAAACUAUUACCCCGGAAUUUCUCAUGGUCCAUACAUGAAUUUAGCUAGCUGAAGAAUUAUGUUUGUUUUGCCUUUGGAUGUUUGAUGAAUUUGUUGUUAUGCCUUUUGGAGUGUGCAAAAUACAUUUUUUUUGUUACUGCCAGGGAUGAACUUUGCAUUACUUGGGGAGGGGAGGGGAGGGGGGGGGGGGGGGGGGUUAGGGUUUGGGGUUUGUUGUCAAUUGUAAGGUAAUGGUAGAAUAUGAUUGACAAUGGGCCCCAAACCCUCCAUUCUCCAGAUGGCACUGAACUAAGUGCGUGAUGCUCAAUCUGAGGCAUUUCAAAUGCUCUUCGCUUGGCAAUCUGCAGCUGUAGUUCUCUAAUCUUUAGAACAAGUAGAAUUUGCUUCCAUGUGACUGCUUAAUUACAACUUAUCUUCUUGUUUUUGUUCAACUGAAGGUAGGGUAACUUUAAUAGGAAGCAUCAGCAAGUUCUUUUCUUAUUUUUCAUUUUUGCUAAUUGCAUUGUGUGUUUCUGGGCUUCUAGCAAUCCUGCAAGAAUCAUGCCAACUCCUGGUUCAGGCCGAUAUUACCUACAUGGCCACUUUUAAAAUCUUAGGAUUCAAGUUUAGGGGAACUGCUGGAGGGGGACACAAUUUAGGGAGAGAAAUGUUUGGGAUGGCUCCCAAUAUGAGAUUUUACAUUGAUUGAGUUUAUUGCUAUUUGGUCAGACUGGAGCAAUUGGAUUAGAAUAAUAGGUUACACAUUUAUUGGAUUAGCUAGCAAGGAAUUCCUUGCCUUUUGUGCAUUAGUAGCAUGGAACUUUUGUAUAACAUCUGCAACAAAUCCUGAAUAUUUCACUUACAACAAAUCAAAUGAGGGGUAUUUCUAACUCAUAUUAUCAUUUCUUUUGCAGAGUGGAAUGCUGAUUAGUGGUAAAAUGGCCCAAAUGAGUCAUUGGAGAAUAAGAAUAUGAAGUACCAUCCAUUACUAUUGCAGGUAUCUUACCAUCCAUUAUUUGGAGUCUUGUCUAUCCACUGUCUGUUAUUUAAUUAUUUUGUAGAUCUCCUAUUGAUCGUAUUCAGCUCUGACUUCUAGAAUUAUUUUUGUUUGCUUAAUUGCAAUGUCUCAUAAACCUGUCUAACCAUUUGUUAUGUUUUAUUAGCCAAUAUAAUUUUUUGGCUCUUUGUCAGGUCAUUAUAAAAGCCUCUUUGUCAGGUCAUUCUUCACGUGUUGGAAUCACUUCUUUUUGUUUCCUCUCAGCAUAUGGUUUUGUGAAAGUUGAAUCUCCCUGUUUGAUAGAGUGCGGUAGAGAACCUUGCUGGCUUGCUGCCUCUUUAGCUUGCCCUCCCGCUCCUGCUCUUCAGAUGUGUAUGUAUGUCUAAUGUUCAAGAAUGUCUUUUGCUUCCCAUUCAUCUGAAUAAAUUGCAUUUCAGUUUUCAUCUGUAUGUAUGCCUAACAAUUUACUGAUUAUAAUGUUUGCUUUUCUUCAGGUAAACUGCUCCGAAGUUCAUUGGAGAAAAGGCUCCAUGGUAGCAGCUAUAGCCACCAAGGUUUGAAAUAAUUUGAUUUUUCUUAUGCCAGUUUUUGUUGUUACUCUCUACGACUAAGCCUUACUAUUACCGCCCUGGGACUAUUGUUCUUCAAUAUGUGAAGCAAAAUACAUUUUAUUUUUACUAUUGCGCAUACUUGAAAUAAAGUAUGCUGAGUUAGCAAAUUAUAAACUUUAUGCCUAGCUUGUAGUGAUCCACAGCUAUACCACUGCUCGUUAGGAAGCUUUCAUUUCAUAGGGGAGAUUGCCCAGGAUUUCAAGGUGAGAUUUGUCUUCGUACUGUCAUUGUGCUCAGUCAUGUAAUUCCACGAUACCGAAAUCUACCUAGAAACUUCUCUCAACCUCCUGUUCUAUUAAUUAGUGCGGACUGAUCUGCGUUUUCAGAGCUAUGUGUAAGCAUACCUGCUUACUUUGUUGGAAGACAGAGCUGUGCGCCAUCCAUGCCACCGAAGGACAUUCAGCUGGCUUGGAGGAUUUACAGCGAGAGGGUUUACGUUCUCCGCGACAGCUAGGAUAUUAACGAUACGUAAUACUUGAAAAUUAAACUAUGCAAGUGUUGUAUUAUCUUGUUUUAAUUCUGUAUUCUUCCUCUUUCGAAUUUCACGUUCCUGAGGUUUCAGUAAUAUGACAUGCAUCUCCUGUGCUCUAACUAAUUCCAAUCUGUCAAAAACAUUUUAAGACUUACAAAAAUCUCCUCUUUUAUUGCCUACGAUUGUUCUCUGUAACACAUUAUCGGCAGUUCCUUUUCUGUGUGCGAAAAACCAUGGCUCAAGCAAAGAAAUGCCGCUAAAGGAAGGAGGCGAGUCACCACCUCCAGGCCAAGAACAGUCACCGCCAAGCGGGACCAUCGGUCAGCACCACCGGGAGCCGCACGCGCGGUGAACUGCCGCACCGCCCGACUUUUUUUUUAUUUUGACCCUUUUCGCGAAAAAAUUUCAUAAAUAGACUCCUAGCGAAACCAAUUUCAAAAAUGGACCCUUAGCUAAUUCCAAAAAUGGACCCUUAGCUUGGCGCUAGCUGCCAAGUUAUAACGUCUUGGCGCCAGCCUCCAUGGCGCCAAGGUCCCCGCACUGCCCCUCCGACGUGGCGCCUGGCCUUUGACGUGGCGCUAAGAUUUGGCGCCAGCGACGGUGGCGCAUAGCCUCCUUCCAUAAAUAACUGGCCCAUCUUCCUGCUCGAGAGUUCCUCCUCAUUCUUCUCCACUCUCUCGGGUUUUUACUCUCCCUACUUCGCCCUAUACUACGAAUUCACAUUCUAGCUUAGGAAACUUUCGUUUGAUCCGGGGAUCUUGAAGAGCAAGGUAUCCUCUCUCCCUCGUACCUUUUUUUUCACAUCGAUUCGCUAUAUAUUUGUUGCAUUUUUGAACUUAGGGUUUCAUGCAAAUGUAGGAUGCCGAGGUGUGGAAAAGCUAAGAAACUAAGGUAACCCCUGCGCACGUAGUUAUGUUAUAUAUGCUCAUUGUUGUGGAUCAAAUGAAAAAAUCUUAAUUGUAGGUUUAUUGUUAAGUGCGUUUGGUUCUUAUAACGAAAUAAACUAAAUUGUAGUUAUGGCGCCAAGCUGACCGGAAAUGCCUUCGAUCCGUUGCCUCUGCCUAGUGGUGUUCCAGUGCCUAUGUGCUUUUGCGGCGAUCCUUGCAAGGUAGCCAAGUCCAAUGAACAUGCCACGUAUAGGCAGAGGUAUUGGAUAUGUUCCAACUUUGCGUUUGAACCUACACUUCGUCAGGGCCGCAUUAACAUGUUGGUAAAGAAAUUGUUGUUGUCUUAUAAUUAUUGACCAUAAUUUUUUUAUUUUAUAACAAUUGCAUUUGUUGUAGACCCCUCCACCGCUAUGUGAUUUUGAGCAGUGGAUCGACACCGAGAUCAAUCAUGAAGACAAGGAGUUUUUGGAGUGUAUGAUGCGCUGGGAUGCAGAGAGGAAGGAGGUGUACGAGAAGAGGCUCAGAGAGGAGGCUGCGAAAAAGGAGAACAAGGAAGAGGAGGAAAGGAGGCGUAUUGCUGCGAACAGGGAGGAGAGGGAGAAGAAGCUUGAGCGUGCACGCCGAGUGAAAGCAGCAGUUGAAGAGAAUCCCGAUGCCUUGAGGAAGGGAAAGUGGCCUUGUUGCACUCAGUAGUCAUGAUUAGUUUCUAGUUCUAUGGUUUAUUUAUGAACUAUAUUUUCUAGUGUGAGACUUUUAUUAUGUUGUCAUGUAAUGAUGCACUUUAAGUAUGCACAUGCAAGUAGUAGACGACCUAUGUUUAUUUUGCGAUGUAAUGCACUUCGAAGUUGUACUCUAGUUAAAUUUCCGUAGAAAAUAAAAAGGGUACUUGUUAGCGAAAUUUCGGCAGAAUUUCCCCUACUUUCCCUACAACAAAUUUUCAGAAAUCAGUAGUCACUAAAGCGAUAAAUGAUUAAGUCAUUAACUUACUUACACACUAAGUCACUACAUGACUAAAUAUUUAAGUCAGUAAGUCACUAAGUCCUUAUCGAACUAAUUAAAUUACUAAGUAACUUAACUUAACAUGUAACAUAGAAAAGUUUGUCUUACCAUCCUAUCCAGGAUUGAUCCUGUCUCAACCUGCCUUCCAGCAUGAGUACUCUGAUCGUACACCGUGUCUUCAUCGUCGAACGAUUGAAUGUCGGCGUAGUCAUCUUGCAUCCAUUGUACCCUCAGCCUGUGACGCGUCGCACCUUGGUACCAAGUCUGGUAUUGCCUAUACUCACUGUUUGUGUGCGGCUCGGUGUUCUCGUCCACGUUGUCCUCGAAAUGCUCCCAUUCCUCAAUGUAAGCCUGGUGGAACACGUGCCACUCAGAGAUCUUCCGUUUCUUCUUACGAUCCACGCUGCACAUCACGUUAGGUCUUACUAUUAGGCAAAAUUAAGUUAAUGGUAAUGGAAAUAAAUCAAUUAGGAAAAUACUUACUUGUGUAACUCCACACUAGUCGAGGUCGCAGGUGUUGGCCAAAUCUGCAUGAUUCCAAACUGACGUGCUACUCGAUUAGUCAGGUGGUACUCGACAGCAUAGAAACAUAUGAGAGGGCACUUCAUCCUGUAAGGAUCGUCGUCGGCCGCACACAUGACACUAACGGCAAAAGGAAGUGCAUCCUCUCCUUCAUAAGGUUGCCAAUUUACCUGCAACAUGUCCAAACAAGAUAUUAGUUCUUAUAGUAAAGGAGUACAAAGAAUGUGAAAAAACAAUUGACUUACACUAUGAGCCGUGAGCACACUAUGAGCCGUGAGCGCGUCUAUCUCGUUGAUGUAAUCAAGGUACGCGCGCUCCAACCUCAUACCUCCAACCUUAACCUGAUCCCAAAGAUAUGCCCAUGUCGGCUGCCGUCUCGGCGGCUCACCUGGGAACUACGGUCGACGACCCAUAAUCUCGGGAUGACCAAUUGGAAGACGGGCCCACAUCCAUAACUGCAAUAGGUACACACACCCACCAACUGAUGCGGAGCCCGAAGUCUGACGGCACGCCUCGCACAGCUGCCGGUACAAGAAACACAGCACAGCUGACCUCCAACUGUACUGACCCGCCACCUACCAGUCAGUGAGGCAGUGGAUCCACAUCCAAGACGCAGUGUCACCUGUAGCGUCUGGGAAAAGAACACAGGCAAACAGGUGCAGGAUCCACGCCCUGCAGUAGUGUCCAACAGUCUCCACAUCCGCGUCCUGGGGGGCAGUGUCCGAAGUGUUCCCGCAGCCAGGAGAUUAGCACUCCAGAUGUGCGAGUCCCCUGAUCCUCGACCUCUCGCAUAAGGAAGGCUGCCACUCGUGCUCUCCAACCCUCUAAGACGCAUGGCCCAGUCACUGCGUGGCCGCGAAUCGUCAGACCCAACAUCUUCUGACAGUCAUGUAGGAUCACUGUCAUUUCUCCGAACGGCAAGUGAAAGCUGUGAGUCUCGGGCCGCCACCUACAUUUUGUAGAAAUAUUACUUGUCAACAUGUAAGGACAUAAUAAAUUGAACAUGAACGAAGGCAAUAGAAGGAAGAUAGUACCUGUCAACCAACGCAGUUAUAGCCGCUGAGUUGAACUUGGGGAGGCCACGACGAACCUGAAAGGAGAUGGUAUCUAGUCCUGCCAUCUGUAGCAACGGAGUGUAGCGGUCGUCGUACUACAGCGCCAAAAACCCAUCAUGGGCUCUAGAACGAAGGAGCGGAAGGACCUGCACGCAAACAAACAUAGUCAGAUGUUUCUUGAGAAACAAGACGUGGAUGCUUAAAAAAAUUAGAUCAUCAACUGUAGAUUAUUACCUGCCCUUCCGCUAUGAGACGACCUCGGUGGGUCUGGUUGUACGCCUGGUCUAGUAGGUGGAAGUGCGACAUCCUAGAAAAAGUCAAAAACAAAUAAAAUUAGUUAACAAAGAAAUAGAAAAUUAAAGAUGUACAACCAAAAUGUACUAUUACAACGAAACAUAACUAUUUGAAUGAAUAAAACACAUAUAAAGUAAUGAAAAGAAAGCUACUAGUCGCACCUCACUAAUCUGCCAACAGCAAGUGCGUGAAUUAUGACCCAAUCUACCGCACUUGCCGCACUCGUUCUGUUCUGGGUCAGUAAGAAAUGGUGUUGCUCUACCAUGCCUCAUUCUUCCAGAUACCUGAUCCAUAGUCAUGUUAUGCCUCGUCCGCUUCCUUGUUCCACGUUUGUUCCAACGGUAAGCUGGAACUGCAAUGUAUUUUAGCCCCUCAUAUAGAGGCCACUCUUUAGGAUCCUGGAAACGCACGAAGCGGGGGCUCCAUGUCCGCACAAGCGUGUGUACACUGAACUCAUGAGGUAUCAUGCUCUCGAUAUCAAAAUUGCGAUACCUAGCUACUGCCACCAAAUGAGAACAUACGAAGUGGUACUGCCUUGGCCUACCACAAGUGCACUUGAAAUCUCGGAGGACUACCACAUGUAUCCUCGACUCUCGGAUCUCGCCGUCGGACGUUGUCCCACCCCUAUGCUCGACCUGAUAAGUCCCUGUGUCGAGAUCAAAACAUUGCACCUUAUGUGUGGAAGCCCUUUCAUUUGCAAUGCUGAGGUGUCUCUUUGGUUUUUCAGCCCAUCUCUCCCUAACACUCUGCAGCGCUUCUGCUUUGAUGUGUCUUUCAUUGAACCACGCAACAAGUCUGUAGAAGGUGAAUUCAACGAUUGCGUUCACAGGUAUACCACGUAUCCCCAAUAGCAACUUAUUGAAUGACUCGGCCAUGUUACUGCACUGAAACUCGUACCUCCAACCACCGACGUCGUGAGAUCUAGUCCACUUAUCCAAAUCUCUCAUCAAACCAGCGAGCCAUUGUUUACCUUCUGCAUUUGUUGCGGUCCUGACCUGCUCAGCGCUGGAAGUAAUAGUCCUCAAGCUGACUAGCAGCAACUUGAAACAGAUCAAAAUUAUUCUUCACACCAUCCUUCCUAAGAAGGUUCUCCGCAAGGUGCCGAGUGCACCAACGAUGAUGCAAAGGUGGAUACCCCUGUAUAUUUGCUCUUGCACAGCAUGAAGUAUGCCCUGAUGCCUGUCAGAUAUGAUGCCAACCUCCCUGCCAGGCCCAACCACAUGUAUCCGGACUAGUCUUAAGAACUAUCCCCAACUGUCAUUGUUCUCCCUCUCAACCAAUGCAAAUGCCAAAGGAACUAACAUGUUGUUCGCGUAACAAGAUAUGGCUAUAAGAAGUGUGCCCCUGUAUUUGCCAAUCAAAAACGUACCAUCAAUAGAGAAAACAGGACGACAGUGCCUAAAGGCUUCCACACACUGAGGGAAGCACCAGAACGCACGCCCAAAUAUCUGCCUCCCAUCCUUCCAAGCAUUUGGUUUUGGGAUGUACUCAUAAUGCAUGCCUGGAUUCAUCGCUUUUAUUGCAUUAAAAAGCACUGGCAGCUGCUCGUACCCAGACUCCCAAUCCCCAUAUAUCAUCUUCCACGCUCGCUGCUUAGCCCUCCAAGCUUUACCAUAAGUUAUCACAUAACCUCCAUAAAUCUCCUCAACAGUUCUGAUAAUUGUUCUCACUUUCAUGUCAGGUUGUUCCUUCAAUAUUCCCAUCAACCGCUUCGCAAUUAGGGUAGAUGUUAGCUGCGGAUGUCUCACUGUAAGCUCAUGGUCAGCAUAAUUAUGCAGACCGACAACUUUUGUGAUCUUCCACUUUCCGGUGAUAUUUUGCUUCCUUGCACAAACCCUCCAUGGGCACUGUUCCUUGUCACACACAACUGUGCAAUGACGCUCCGCGUAUGAAUGCAACACUUUGUAAGGUCUCUUCCGUAUCACCGCAAAAGCUUGCAACCACCUCUUCAAUGCGGGAAGGUCCUUAAAUACCCUUCCCUCCUCAAUAACCAUACUAGGACUAGCUUCAGGAGCUUCUAGGAGCUCAUCAUCACGUCCUUCUACAAACGCCUGAUCGGAAAGAGUAAGAUCGCUAAACUUGUGAACUAUCGGAUCAUGACAUCCAGGGAAGAUACGCCUGAACAUCUCAAUAUCACUCUGUGUCAUCUCUCCAACAGGGCGAUCAUCAUCAGAAUCAAGAUCCACUCCCAUCUCGUAUGCAUCUUCAUCAUUCAAAAUUUCAACACUAUUGGAUCCACACAAUCCAUCUCCACAUUGCACUUGCGCAUCAACUAGAGGCACUUCCAUAUUUUCUGGAAUAUCUCCUGCGAUAUUAAGUACAAAUAUGAGUAAAGAAGAAAAUUGAUGGAACAAAUGGAGUUAGCUCCCAACAAUAGAAACUGGUAAGACACUUACUCGGAUCAUUCUGAGUGAAAAGGAACUCAUUAGGAGAGUCUGCCACAUCAUCAACAAUCCGACAACCAUGUCCAACUACUUCAUUGGGGGCAGAUUCAGCAUCGGGAAUAGUAGGUGCAACAUCCACGUCCAUAACAGGUUCUGGGACGGGAGGAUCGAAGUGUGCCCGUUGACCCAUUGGUCGGGAAAACCGACGAGGAAUUGGAUCAACUCCCACCUGACGAACAACCACUUCAACACUUGGGGAAUGACCAUUCAUAACCGUUCUCAUAUAUUUUUCCCACUGGCUUGCACACCGAAUUGGGACCAUCUUCCUUUGAAUGUUGAGAGGGGAAUCUAGGUGAAGUAUGCCCUCGACUGUGAUUUCAUCAUCUCCAUGACAAUGUAGCUCCUCCCGAGCCCUUGCAAGCAACUCACUAAAUGAGGGUUUCUCAUCAAAUAUCACAACCUCGCACUGCAUGGCAACAAACUUAACACAUCCAUAUUCAUCCCUUUCCACGGUGCCUCCGUGAUAUAUGCUCACUACGUUCUCCAUCUAGUACAUCAAUAUAACGACGCACAAUUCAUUUAGUCCAUAAUAAAUGAAACAUUCUAAGUACAAGGUCUCUAGUAUGAAAUGAGAUAGUAUUAAUUGACUACUAACUACUAAAUACAACUAGCUAACUAUGUCACCUAAUAUGUACCUAUGCACUUAACUAUACAACUACUUAACUAAAUAACUAGUUUACUAUGUAACUAACUAAAUAACUAGUUUACUAUGUAACUAACUAAAUAACUAGUUUCCUGUGUAACUAACUAUACAUCUAACUACGUAAAUAAAAUUGGACAUCCAUCUAGUUAAAUAGUGUCACGAGUAUCCUCUAAUCCUUCUACCAUUGCAAUUCAUAAAAAUAAACUUUCAUAUCUAACAAUUCUACCUAACUAUUCUAAUUUACGUAUCUAACUAUUUCAUCUACCAAUUCUACCUACCUAUCUAAAUUCUACCUAACAAUCUAAUUCUAAUUUAUCUAUCUAACUAUUUUAUCUACCAAUUCUACCUUCUUUAUCUACCUAGUUAACUAUAACUCUUCUUAAAAUUUUACCUCACUUGUGCACACCGGCGGCAAGGGGUGGGUGCGGGCACCGAGCGGGGGUCGGGCGACCUCCGGCUGUGGAGGGCGCGGGCGCCAGGCCAUGGGCCACCGGCAGGGGCGGCCGUGGGCGCCCGGGCUGGGGGCGGGCGGCCUCCGGCCGGGGCGGCUCCGGGCGGGCGCAGGCAAGGGCGCGAGGCGGCUGCGGGAGCCCGGGCGGAGGGCGCCGGGCCGGUCGGCUCCGGGUGCCGCCGGCCUUCGGUGGCACGGGGCGGGCGGCCUUCGGCGUCGCGGGCCGGGCGGGCGACGGCCGGGCAAGGGGCGGCUCCAGGCGGGCGGGCGACGGACGGGGGCGAGCGCGGCCGCAGGGGCCCACGCGGGGGGCGCCGGGCGGGAAGGCUCCGGCCGCCAGGCGGCCUUCGGCCGGGCCCGGGCGCGGGGUGGCUCCAGGCGGCCGGGCGCGCGGCUUCGGGCGGCCGGCCUCCGGGCGGCGACGGCGGCGGCGGACUCCGAGGGCGGCGGCGGCGGCGGUCUCCGAGGGUGGUGGCACGAUUUGAAAUGAUUCGGAAUGGAAACGGACGCGCAAAAGGAAAGAGACCCCGGUGAUGUGGUAAAAGGGUUGGCGCCACCGUCGCUGGCGCCAAGGCUCGGCGCCACAUCGGAGGGGCGGUGCGGGGACCUUGGCGCCAUGGAGGCUGGCGCCAAGACGUUAUAGCUUGGCGCCAACCAUCCUGGCGCCAAGCUAAGGGUCCAUUUUUGGAAUUGGUUUCACCAGGGGUCUAUUUGUGAAAUUUUUUCGUGAAAAGGGCGAAAAUAAAAAAAAGUCGACCGCACCGCUCGCCCACCCGGCCCGACCUCGCGCGUCAACACACCCACCCCACCGCCCGACACCACCACCACCACCUAGCCCAAGCAGGCGCCGCGCGCCCUCCACGUCCUCCCGUCGCUCUCGUCGCGACACACGUCCAAUUCUGGAGCAGGGAUGUGAUGGGUGCCCGCAGUUAAAUCUUAGUGAUUCUAGACGUGUGUUAGGAGCACAUACGUGUGGUGCGUUGUCAUAUUGAAAAAUUCAUCAAAAAACAAGUCAGCCUGUGAUAAUGUCUAGAAUUAGUGGAUCCUAAUUCCAUUGCUCGAGAACAUAGUUUGAUGCGUUUUGUUUAAAAAUAGAGGAGUUAAUUUGUACCAAAAAAGGAGGAGUUAACUUUGAGUCGAAGAUAACUUGAGUUUCUUCCCCCCUACCCACAUCAUGUCAUUACCGCUAGGCUAGCCAGCCUCCGAAUGCUUUUGUCUAGCUCGCAAUGAGCUGUAGAAGGCUGUUUGGGAGGAUUUCUCCCCGAAAAGCUUCACCAGCGAAGUAAAGAAAAUGACUUCACCCAACUUCUAAAUUAUUUUUAGAAUUGUAAAUUAUUUUUAGAAUUAUGAAACGGUUCACACUAGUACCUCGGUUUGCGCAAAACAAGUGAAGCUAGAGUUGUAUAUAUAAGUCCUUCCAAAUGAGUAAAAUAGGUGAAGCCAGAGUUGGCAUAUAUAAGCCCUCCCAAAUGAGCCCUUAAAUCACACAGCGGAGGGGGAAAAAAAUCAUACUUCGAAUGGAUCUCGCCACGCAAACUCCAUAGGGCAAUUUGUAUUUACAUAAUUUUUUUAAGGUAAACUUCCAGUGACAGAAAAUAGAGAAGCACUUCUAAACAUGAAUUCAGCAUCGUCUCACUGAGCUUUUCUCCACUGCCUGCUAUCAACUAAUAAGAUUUGCAACUUAAAUGAACUCAAAAGUACCAGACUUGACCAUUAUAGAGCAAAAGGGGUAUAAUAUUAAUAUCACCAUACAGACUCCAUAUUUUUUUAUAUACAUAAUUUUUAUUCAUGUAAACUUCCAUUAACAAAAACCACGAUAGAGGGGAGGCUCCAUGCAAUGCACGGAGUAAUAUUUUACAUCAAAAUAACUGAUGACUCUAAGAAAAACACUUCUAAACAUGGCUAUAUCAAUGACUUAAGAGAAACACUUCUAAACAUGAAUUCAGUCAUCAUCACUUGAAUCAUCAGAGCUUUCCUCUGAUGAAUCAUCCUUGUCAUCCUCGACGCACAAAAAUACCUCACCACUGCAUUAUAUGUAUACUCGUUAGGGUGUUGGAUGCACAAGGUUAAUGAAAAGCAAAUAAGUGUAAAGGUAAAGGUAAAAUGAGUGGAACAUACUCAUAUGCUUCGAACGUAUGAAAGGCUCAAAAUACUCUGAAAGAGAGAAUUUUUUAAUAAGCCAUAAAUAAUCAAUCAACAUAUGAUAAGACGAAAAAAUGGUCUAACUUUUAGUAACUUUAACAACAAAGAAUAUCAAGUAAGUUAAAUAAGGAGCAAGCGCUUGUCCAAGAACCAGAUCAGUAAUCAACAUAUCGAGCACCAUCUGGUUUGAACCAAGCUGCAGAUAAAAUAGAUUGCAUUAACUUAUAAGCAAACAAAGAUGAUCACUAGUCAAAAGCAAACUUUAUCCAGAUAACGGUACCUUUCUAUGGUCCAUAUCAUGCGUGCCAAAGUAACGGGAGAACUUAAGUCUGAGUGUACACAGAAGCAUUAACUCCAUUAAAAUAGACUGCAUCCAAUAAAAGUAAACUGCAGGCAUAGACCUCCAGUCCUCUAGAAAAUAGAGCAUUCAACGGCUCAUAGUCUGCAGGUGGAACACAGGGAGCAGAUUCAUAUACCUUGUAAAGGUGCAUCAGCAAGUUUGAUCUGCUAAACGGAGACAUAAAGGCAAAAUGUAAAGCAAUAUAUUUUUCAAAGCUGACAAAGUCAUCCUAAUUGAAUUCUGGAUCUGGAAUCUUCAGAAUAUCAUGCUGAAAUUCAUCAAAAUAUAGAGGAUAACUCUUCAGAUCAGCACUGUAGAAGUUAUACUUCAGAACUCAUUCAAAAAAUUUCUUGAAAUCUUCUGAAGCACUGUUAGCCGUCAGUGUGUCUAAAGCUUCUUUUAAGAUGAUGAAUUGACCAUUAACAACCUCCAUAUCAGAAAGUAGCUUAAAAAUCCCCUGGCACACUUAGUCCCAGAAUAUAGCUACAUUUAGGGUUCACUAGCAUAUUAAAAACAUAAAACAUGUCAAAGUUUAUAACCUUUGCUUAUGCUGUUGGCCCGCAGUUUGCCCUAGCAAAUCAAUUUUAUUGGUAGCAUUGGAUUUAAACCAUCUCUCAAUCUGUAACAAUUCAAGGUCAAUCAAAUGAAGUGGAAGCAUGUAUAUAAAGGCACAACAAUUCUUUCACUUUCCAAUGACAUACCAAGUUUUUUUCCAAGAAAUAACUAACAGCUGCAGUAGCAUUUAUUGGUGUAGGUAUGCACUCCUUAAAGAUUUUGCUGUCUUCACAACUAAGUACAUCAUUGGUAAACAAUGUUCCCUCACUGGCUUUAUCUAGCGCUGCAAAUAGUUCAUCUGCUGUUGUUUUCUUUGUAUUGAUGGCAUCCUAUAGAAAAAACAAAGUAAAUAUAUACACACAGAUACACACAUUUCGCAAAAGACAAAUAUAUACACACAAAUACACACAUUUCGCAAAAGACAACAUAAAUAUAAAAGAAUACAAUUUACAUGAAAAAGCAUACCAACAGCUUUCCAGCAACCAAAGGUUUUUGCUCCUUCUUCAAUAACUUUUUAACAGUCUUCCACUUGAAUGGCUGAGGGUUUGCAUUUCAGUUUAGCACAGAUUAUUGCCUCGAUAAACUUUUGUGCAGAUGGGAAAAGCAAUUACCUUGAUGUUCACUUGAUCAAGUGACAACACAGGUCCAGCCGAAUCAGAUGUAAUAAGCUGUAUAGAAAACAAAUAAAUCCAAAGUUAAGGGAUUAAUUGAAACAAAGAAUUACGUAAGCUGUAAGAAACUUUUCAUUACAAAUGGGCUCACCUUAUCGAAAUAUUCACCAAUUUGAGUCCUUUUCUCAACAAAAUCCUACAGAGAAUUAGCAAUGAGUUAAAAAAAUAGACAUAAGAUAACUGUGAAUGGAGCAUUAAGGACGAUAAGAACAGAGAACAUACAAACCUUCCCAUUUGGAUCUUCUAUAUGAGUUUGCAUAUGUCUAUUGUAAUUUACUUGUGAGAAGAAUCUUAACUCACAACCUGGAUUGGGGCAUAUGUGAAAUCUUGAGUCUUUAUCACCAUCCAAAAGAAGGUUAGCGAAUUUUGUGGAUUCAGCAUCCAUAUAAUUAGACCAAUCAUCAAUCUGCAUUAAAUUUCAAUUCAAAGUCAGAUAAAUAAGUUUAAGUUACAUCACGGCCUUUGCUCAACAGAAGAUUAAACCUACCAAUCUUUUUUCAAGAAAGAAACACCAGCAAGCAAUGACAUUGCUGGUUUCUUUAAAAGCAAGAACACCCAUCUCACAAGAUAGCACCUUCUUGGGCAAAUGGCGAAUAUCAGUUGAGAAGGCAGUUCUCUCACUGCCUUCAUCAAGAAGAGCAAAAAGCUCACUCGAUGAUAUUUUUUCCUUACCAGCAAGGGUAUCCUGCGAGCAAAAAUAAAUAAAAGAUGAAAGGGACCUAAAUGUGUGCAAUCGAAUAAAGGGAGCUAGUUAAAAAAUAUACCUUCAAUUUAUUUGCUAUGCCAUAGAAUAUGUCUUCUGGAGCAGUCUGCUCAAUAAGCUCGCAGAGUAGAUCACCAUGGAUAUCCUGAAAGUUUUUCAAUUCUAUACUAAUUUAAAAUUCUUAUCCCAAUACUUGUAGAGAUAAAUUUAGUACAAUAAUUACCUGAAUUCUCAUGUCCAUAAUCGAAGUAAUAAUGCAAGCAUCCUUAUUAUUCAACUGAAAAGGAUAGCAAACGAUUUUAAGUACAGAAGUUUGUGUGUUUCUUAUGGACCCAAGUAAGCUAUAGAAAAAAAAUGUUACAAAUAGCUUACCUUAUCCCAGAAUUUACCAAUUUCAUCUUUAUUGAAUCCAAUCUAUAAAACAUACAGCAGCAAACAGGUCAACUGAGUUGACAAAAUUCAGACAGAAAUCAUACAGAAGAAUAUGAGAGCAGGAAGAAGCACAUUAGAAGCGUACACACAAUUGUAACUUUUGGAUCUUUAGAAUGAAUUUGCUUAUGGCGAUUCAAGUUCACUUCAGACAAAUAGACAUGCUGACAACUUCGCCUAUUGCAUUGGUGGGCUUUGAGAGGUGAACUUGACCCUGACUGGUCAGGGCCUGGCAACAUUUGCGGAGGCACUCCUCCUUCAGCAGCUUCUACAACAGCUUCAGCUUGUAGCACAGCAGCAGAAACUAGCACAAAAUUGCUGGUAAAGAAUUGCCCUUCACCUUGUAACUGUUGGCAUUAGGGAGCAGAGGAUGAGGACAGGGAGGGGUCACCUCUCAAUGUAACAGACAAGCAUGAAAAAAAAAACAUCUACAACAUACAUUGAACUCUCUCCAUACAAUGUUUGUAGAUAUGUUAUCCAUAUAGUUGUGUAGAGCAUACAAAUUGCCAUCGUGCUGCAUCGAAAAGCAAGUGAAAUACUAAAAAAAGAACAGCAAAGUUUGUUGAAGUUCUCAAAAGACAAUAUUGAAGAUUAUGAACCUUAAUCAUUGUAUGAAAUGAUCUAUUCCAGAAUAGAACAAACACUUGCUCAUCCUGGGCAGAUUCAAUCAAUUGUUGUAACCUGCAGUGUUGGAAAAAAAACCCACACGAAAAUUAAUUAAUACUAAAAAUAAUAUAAAUAUGCAAGCUAGAUUGUAGUGUAAACAUGUACCCGAAAUCGGUUAAACCUGUGCCCUGCAAGAACUCCACUACUUCCGGCAAAUUCACUACUUCUUGAUCUGCGCGUUAAAAAGAAAGUACAUACUUAAGUUGUAACGCACCUAAUUGAAUAGAUUAACACAUUAGUAAACAUAUCAAUCAAAGUUUGGUACCUUCAUUAAUAAUCUGAAUAGGUGCAUCAGGAUCUGCUGCCCUGAAAACUUCAUGAGGUCCUACUCCAAUAGCAUUGGCAACUACUUCAUUCUAAAAAACAAAAUGGCUCAGUGUAAGAGGUAGCUAGCAUUAAAGCUUGCUGUACUGAAUUAAAAAUCUAGAGGAAUUUCAAAUAGAACACUAUCUAAAUACAGUAAUUAAUAUUCUGAACUCGAGAAACAACAAUUGCAAACAAACAUAAAAGAAUACCUCAUGAUCAACAAUCCUGCCAUGAUGUAAACUGACUUUCAGAUGUUCAAAUACCUCAAGAUUUACAGUAUUGCUUGUGAUACCAUCAGAUCUGCAACACAUCCACCAAAUGACGUCAAACCACAACCCCUAUUCAUAACACAUCGAAAACUAACAGGCAAAACUUACUUUGUGAAAUCAACAGAAACAUUAAUCGCCCGUGACAAUGCUGUUAUGCAAUUAUUCAUUUCAAUUCUGGUUAUCACGUCACCACCACCAAGGCCCUGAGAAAGUGAUAAGUGCACUAAAAAUUAAAAUUGAAUCACAAUCACAAAAUAUUUAGAACGAAUGGUUGAUAGACAAACCAAGUGUGAGCGGCGGUAUUUUCUUUGCAAACGCGACACAAGGGAUUGAAGGGGAACUUGAUGCUCAGCCUCUUGGGGAACAGUGAGAUCACCCCUCAAGCUCAGAGCAUUAUCUGCAAAAUGUUUAAAACAAACGGAAGAUAUCAAUUGGAAUCGCGUUUUUAUCAGAAGAUGCCGCCGAUUCAAAAACUCUCAACGCCAAUCUACAAAAAAAAAAAAGAACACGGCGUCCGAUCCGCCUCCCUCGCCUAAACGCCAAUCCGAAGAUUUCAAAAACUCAAAUCAAAUCUACAAGACCCCCAACUGCGUCCGAUCCGCGUGCAGCGCCGACAAAAAGAAAUCGUACUUAACGCAAAUUACCGGAUCCGCUGACUCCUCGCCCAGUAGAGAGUACUUACACAACGCCAGGAGAGCGGAACGCUCAUGGUGAUUGGCGGGGUAUGCGAUAAUCCUUUGAAUCCCACCAAAAUCUAUUGCCCUGGAUGUGUAGAUGAUGCCCGCGAUGUCCGCCAUGAAUGGGUUUCACCGCAACGCGGCUGCCGCUUUGUUCCAGACUCCGAGGGAAGGGUGAGGGUUUUGGAGAUGGGCCUGAUGGGCCGUGUGGGUUUGUUUUUCUUGUUUAUUUUCUAUUUUUUUAGAAAAACCUAUCGCGCGGUGUCGCGCUCGCGCCGUACAGCCUACAGCGUGACCCCAUGCGGCUCAGUAGUGUUCGGUAUUUAUUGGCAUGCACAGCACGCGUUGAAUUUUUAUAUUUUUUUAUUUUACGAUUUUGCACAAAUAAAAAUUCGAGGGAAAAAUUUGCAGAUUUUUUAAAGAAUUAGAUGCCUACUGCCGAAUUAAUUGGUUGUAGCCGGAUGAAACCACCGGUUGACACGGCGAUAACAAAAAAACUCGACGUCAACGGAAAACAGGGCGCCACGUCAGGACCCAUGGGGCGGCAGAACCUCUUACCGUCGUUGAAAUGGCGGGAGGUUGUGAGCCCCGGAUGCUGUCGCUGCGUCAAACGGUGGGAUCUCCUUUUGCCAGUUCAAACGACAGGAGCAGGAUCUUUUCGCUAGUUCAAACAGCGGAAUCUCCUACCGCCGAUUCAAACGGCGGAAGUGGGAUCUUUCCGCCGAAUCGGCCGGUGAUAACUUGCCCCACCUACAAAACUUGAAAUACGGCCGGCGCCUAGCUCCCUGGUUCAUUCGGGGCAAGAAGGAAGGAGAGGAGAGGAGAGGGAGGGAGGGGAGGAGGGAAGUUUGAAGUGAAGCUCUGCCGGAUCUGCGCUUCGGUUCAGGUAAGUUUUGAACUCGCAGUUAGUAGAUGUAGUAGUAGCUAUGAUUUGUAUUGGUGUAGCAUUAGAUCAAAUCUAGGUGUACAUAUUGGAUACAGAUAAAUUUUAGUUAGUUGGUAUAGUAGAUUAAGCUUAGUUUAGUUACAUAUUGCAAUCAAAAGUGACAAAUGAAACUGCAUAUUUUAUUUUUAAAAAUAUCAUACAAAAUUAUAUGAAAGAUAGCUAAUAAAAAAAUAGAGUUAUAACAGGUUCAAACGGCUAUAGCCGUUUCAAUUGGCUAUAGCUUGACACACAAAUAAACCAGGCUAAACCAGGCUGCUCCAUCGCAAUCCGGACUUCCAACCGCCGUUUCAACUGGCGGUAGCACCAUUACCGUUGUUUCAACCGGCGGCAUAGUCCAUUUCUACAAAUUUUUCGUUCCACUAUUUAUUUCUGCAAAAUCGUAAAAAAAUAUAUAAAAAUAAAAAAUUCUUGAACAAAAGGGUGGCCGGGCCGAAAAAAGAGCAGAAAAAAUAUGGCAUGCGGGACCCAUGUUGACAGUAGGACCCACUUAUCCGAGUGGCAGCGGGAUCCACCUUAACCCUGUCCUUUUCUUUUGGAAAUUUUGUGACGUUCAACUAUUGGCCUUAAUGACAAAAAUGAAGUUCGUUACGAUUUGGCAUUGGACUACUUUAUGAUGCUAGUCGGUCUUAGUGACGAACACCUCAUUUUUGUCACUAAGUUGUAGCCUCGUAUACAACGUCAUAAAACCGAAUGCCAUAAUGACGAAUAGGUCUAAUGUCAUGAUGUAUUUGUCACAAAAGGUGAUAUUUGUUGUGGUGUAAUCCGUUCCAUUCCUCAACUACUCAAGAUGGCGUGGUAAGCACUUCGAAGUUCAUAGGUAAAGGUAAGGCUUGGAAUAACUUAUAUGCAUGCAUCACACCAGUUGAGGAGAUGUCCACCUUAGUCCUUCAACCUUUACUUGAAGAUGAGCAAAGAGCUAAGUGUGAGGGUGUUGUUGACGGUUCUUAUACCAAUCCCAACAGUCAACUUCACUAUCAAAAUAGUGAAAUAACAAACACCAAACUAGAAAUAGGAGUUAUCUCUAAUCAUUUCCACGAGUUCUGGUGAAUCACUGUUUACAGAAGACCUUACUUGCAUUCAAAGAUAAUGUACACAAGACAUAUCAAAAUAUACAUAAAAGUGGCCCAGUUGGAAAGCACCAUUGAGAAGCUCUUCAUAUAUUUUGGAGGCCAGAAUAAAAUCUGACAGAAUAUGUUCCAUAAGUAGUCUUAGAAGCAUAUGCUUUCUGGUAGAAGGGGCUUAAAAACUUCCUGUUCUUAGACAAGGCUUUUCGUCCAACUCUGCUAAUUUGGAUACUCAAUUGCAGUUGUACUACUCUCCUACAUCCAUGACUCUCACAGCUUUGUUCUUGUAAGGGUUCUCUGUUAUGGUUUUUUUGUUUGUCCACUUCAAAUGAAACGACUCCUCUCGUUGGUCUUUAAAAAUCUAUACCUCAAAUUUUUCACACUUAUCCGCAACUCGUGAUUCCUUAUUCCUGCGACACUGCCGUUCUGUUGGGCGCGGCGGCUGGGCCAUACGACGAACAAACCGCCACGAGGCCCACGACCGCCGAGCACAGCCUCUCUAAGCCCAAAUCCAGAACCGAUCCGAGCAGGCAUCGUUUCGCUCCCUCCCGCUCCGCUCCUCCUCUCUCUCCGCCCAUCUUCUCCCCUCCGCUCAUCCCACCCCGCCGCCGCCGCCGCCUACGCCGCACCACCCACGCCGUCCCGCCCGCCGUAACUCUCAACCACGCGGAGCCCCUCCGACCGAAACCGCGUGCGCGCGCGACGCCUCCCCCUAAUCUCCGCCACCGCCGCCGCCUCGGCGGAACCCUAGAACCCAGGCGGGGGUCGGCUCGCCUCGCCGGAGCGGCCCCGGCCGGGGGACUACCGCGGCGGAAGCCGGAGACCACCACUCUGCCCUCUACGGAGGAGAAGAACCCGGGGAGGAGGCUGAGGGAAGGAGGCGGACAAGAUGAGGAUCAUGAUAAAGGGCGGCGUGUGGAAGAACACGGAGGACGAGAUCCUCAAGGCGGCCGUCAUGAAGUACGGCAAGAACCAGUGGGCGCGCAUCUCGUCGCUGCUCGUCCGCAAGUCCGCCAAGCAGUGCAAGGCGCGAUGGUACGAGUGGCUCGACCCAUCCAUCAAGAAGGUACGAACCAACUUCCAGCCCCGCCACCUGCAGUAGCCCCCUCCCUGCUGCCUUGCAUCUCUAGCGAACCCAACGAUUUUUGCUCGUAUGGGCGUUUGUAGGUUUAGCUAGCAGGCAUUACUUUUAGGAUGGACGAACACAGUUCAUGAUUGCCUGCCGAUGUUACUGUAAAGAAUGGUUACGUUUGAUAUUGCAGAUGCGAGUAAGCUCACGUCACAUUUUUUUUUGAAAAUGCACUAACUAUUGCAAAUGUUAGAGGAGCUUCCAGAACUUCCAAGAUGUGAUGGUGUUAACUCUUGAAUUAUUACAUUGACACAGAAAAUGUCUACCCCUGUCUCCAUUGAUUACUUUUGAGAAUAAUUUCUAGUUCUAGACCACAUUAUAACUCAACUGUCAUAGUAGGCACAAGCGCAUUUUUUGUUGGAUAUGCACCUAAGCACCUAACUUCAACUGAACUACUAUUGGGUAUGUAUCAUUUUGGAAUCAUGAACUUCAUUGCAAAUGCAUAUAUGGGAACUUCUAUUGGAAACUAGUGAAUUUUUCUUAUCUAAUUCUUGCUGUAUUCAAUAUCUUCUGGUUAAAACUGAAAAACACAGAGCCUAAAAUCACUUUAGUGCACAAGGUUUACUGCUACAAUCAAUGAAUACAGCUAUUUUAGCUAUCCCCAAUCAUGCCAUGCUAUUUAUUUCUUUUGUUUGCUUACUUGCUUUGCCAUGCCACAAUGACAAUGAUUCUUCCAUUUUCGUCAACUUUAACUACGUCUUUUGUUGACUACAGACUGAAUGGACAAGAGAAGAGGAUGAGAAGCUGCUCCAUCUUGCUAAACUCAUGCCUACACAAUGGAGGACAAUUGCACCUAUUGUUGGCCGGACACCAUCUCAGUGCCUUGAGCGUUAUGAGAAACUGCUUGAUGCUGCCUGUGCAAAAGAUGAGAAUUAUGAACCUAACGAUGACCCAAGGAAAUUGCGACCUGGUGAGAUUGAUCCAAAUCCCGAGUCAAAACCUGCUCGUCCUGAUCCUGUCGAUAUGGAUGAAGAUGAAAAGGAGAUGCUUUCCGAGGCAAGGGCUAGAUUAGCUAACACCAGGGGCAAAAAGGCUAAACGAAAAGCAAGAGAGAAGCAACUUGAAGAGGCUAGGCGGCUUGCUUCACUGCAAAAAAGGAGAGAGCUGAAGGCUGCUGGCAUUGAUACACGGCAGAGGAAGAGAAAGAGGAAGGGUAUUGACUAUAAUGCUGAGAUCGCGUUUGAAAAGAGACCACCUCCAGGCUUUUAUGAUACGGUUGGUGAGGACAAGCCACCUGAGCACGUGCAAUUUCCAACUACUAUUGAGGAGCUUGAAGGGAAGCGGAGAGUGGAUAUAGAGGCACAAUUGAGAAAGCAAGACAUUGCCAGGAACAAGAUUCUGCAGCGGCAAGAUGCCCCAGCUGCAAUAAUGCAAGCCAAUAAACUCAAUGACCCUGAAGCUGUCACAAAGAGGUCCAAACUAAUGCUUCCACCACCACAAAUUUCUGAUCAUGAGUUAGAGGAGAUAGCAAAGAUGGGUAGUGCUGGUGAUCCUGCUCUAGCUGAGGAGCUUGGCGAAGGAAGUACUGCCACGAGAGCCUUGCUAUCCAGCUAUUCCCAGACUCCAAGGCUUGGUAUGACUCCAUUGCGAACUCCACAGAGAACUCCAGCUGGUAAGGGUGAUGCUAUUAUGAUGGAGGCAGAAAAUCUUGCACGUCUAAGGGAGUCACAAACACCUCUUUUAGGAGGGGAUAACCCAGAUCUUCAUCCAUCAGAUUUUUCUGGUGUUACACCACGUAAGAAGGAGAUACAGACUCCAAACCCCAUGGCGACACCCUUGGCAUUGGCAAGCCCCGGUCCUGGUGCCACCCCACGGAUUGGCAUGACACCCUCCAGAGAUGGGAAUUCCUUUGGUUUAACUCCAAAAGCUACGCCCUUUCGAGACGAGCUUCGCAUAAAUGAAGAGGUGGAACUGCAGGACAGUGCUAAGCUUGAGCUUCGUAGACAAGCUGAACUGAGAAAGAGCCUGCGAUCUGGUUUUGCUUCUAUUCCACAGCCUAAGAAUGAGUACCAGAUAGUUAUGCCACCUAUCACUGAGGAUGAAAAGGAAGAGGCUGAAGAGAGAAUUGAAGAGGACAUGUCAGACAGGUUAGCACGAGAGAGGGCCGAGGAACAAGCAAGGCAGGAGGCGUUGCUCAGAAAGAGAUCCAAAGUGUUGCAGAGAAGUUUGCCUAGGCCACCUGCUGCUUCAGUAGAGGUUCUCCGGCAGUCUCUGAUUAAAGGUGGUGAAAGCAGAAGCAGAAGUACCUUUGUGCCUCCAACAUCACUUGAACAGGCUGAUGAUCUGAUACAUGAGGAACUUCUUAGGCUCCUUGAGCAUGAUAAUACUAAAUACCCCCUUGAUGAUAAAACUCAGAAAGAGAAAAAGAAAGGGAACAAGCGGCAGGCAAAUGCGGCGGCGGUUCCUGAAAUUGAGGAUUUUGACGAGUACGAAUUAAAAGAGGUACAUUUACUUUUCUUACAUUGUAAUGUAAUGUGACAAUGAUCUUAUUGCUAUUUUCCCUUACUGUACCUUGUUAUUGACAGUAGACCUGAUGUAUUAAAUUUGUUCGCUGUCCCUUGCUGAUUAUCUUGAUGAGACAGGAUAUAAUGGAGUAGCAGAUAUGAAUCAUGUUUACAAUUUUAGUCCUGAUUGUCUAGGUUCUCUAUAUUUAUAGUACUGAUUAAUGGAUAUUUUUCUGGAGACUGGGUGGCGGGAAAAUGACAUGAAUUUUUGUGCUGGUAGUUGUGUUAGUGUGUGUGUAGUAGGAAUGUUAUAUUAUGGGCAUGUGGCUUCAGGAUUCAAAGAAGAAUGUGGUUUUAAAUAAUUAAUAUUUCGAUCUUUAUCAGAGUGUUGGGUACAACGAACAUAGAGGUGAUGAAUAAAAGGGAAUGAUUGAAUACUAUAAUAUUCUGUUUAUUUUUACCUUGGCAUGGCUUGGUCUGGGCUAAUAUUAAAGGAUGAUCUUUAGUCUCGGGAUAAUUUUUUGAGCCAUAGGGAUAGUUGGAACAAAAUGAGUCACCCCGUGAAAGUUCUUAAUGUCUUCAUUGGACUUCUAUUAGUAUUUUAUCAAUAUGCAAAUUGUAUAGCAGGCAUGUAGGUGUAGUGUCACACGAAAAAGCUAGAUUUCCUUUGAUUCCUGUAGACGAUCCAAUACUGUUUGUGGACAUAGAGAAGAUGGAAAUGUUGCCAACGAUCUAAGGCCAUCUGGCAUGCGUGCUCUUCACGCACAAUGUUUGUGGAGAAAAUUCUUUUACCUUUCAUCCUUUCACUUAAAGGCCAAAGUUUCCUUGAGAAAUUAUAUCUCCUGGUGGAAGAGGCACUUAAUAGCUGGAAAUUAAUUAUGUGAAUUAGAGAGGUUUUCCAGAGUGGCAUUAUGCAGUUCGGAUCUAAAACUUUUAUCAUCUGGAAGAGAAUAAAGAUGUUUUGGUUGGUAUUACUAUGUUAUGUACUUUACCUUCACAUGCCACAGAUAACACUUAAUUGCUUAAAUUGAUUACAUCUAGUUUGUUUAUAUUUUUGUUUCUUUUAAUGAUUACUAUCCUGUGAAUAGUGUUGUAUCAUGCAAUGACGAGAAAGGUAUUCAUAUGGCUAUAUUUCUUUUGUUUGCAGGCUAGUUCGUUGGUUGAAGAGGAGAUUCAAUAUCUUCGUGUGGCCAUGGGGCAUGAAAGUGAAUCGUUUGAUGAUUUUGUGAAAGCUCAUGAUGCAUGCCAAGAGGACCUUAUGUAUUUUCCUGCAAACAACAGCUAUGGUCUUGCCAGUGUUGCUGGAAAUGCUGAUAAGAUAUCCGCUUUGCAAAAUGAGUUUGAAAUUGUGAAGAAGAGAAUGGAUGAUGAAGCUAAGAAGGCUUCUCGUCUUGAGCAGAAGAUCAAACUUCUGACACAAGGGUACCAGGUAAGCUGAGGUCAUGCAUCAUUUGCAUUGGAGUGUGUCCAUACUUACUGCAAACCUUCUUUUAGGCAGUGUGUCAUAUGCCAAUGCUAAGUUAUGUGCUGUACUUCUGGCAUAUCAGUUUACAUACUCCCAAAAUAUGGGCGUUCCGCUUUUCACCUGAUACUGGGUUUGUUUUACAACUUUUAUUGAUAUAAAAUUGUGCACAUAUGUAAUGUCCUCUCAAUGCUGAUACUUGGAUUCCCUGUUUGAAUCUUUAGGUACGGGCUGGGAAACUGUGGUCGCAGGUCCAAGAUACAUUCAAACAGAUGGAUACUGCUGCAACAGAACUUGAAUGCUUCCAAGAGCUCCAGAAACAGGAACAGUUGGCAGCUUCCUACCGUGUUAGAAAUUUGACUGAAGAAGUGGAUAAACAGAAAGCAUUAGAACGGACACUCCAAAGCCGUUAUGGUGAUUUGGUGUCUAUUUACCAUAGAAUGCAAGAACAGCUUGAGGAGCACAAGAUUCAACUUAGGAAACAGGAGGCAAUAGAAGCAGAAAAUCGUGCUCGAGAGGAGGCUGCAGCACAGAAUCGUGCUGACGAGGAAGAAAAUGAAAGGAGACGUAAUGUUGAAGAGGGGAAAGAACAGACGAACAGUGUUCCUGAUGAGGUACCUGCAGGAAGCAAGCAAAUCAAUGAGGAUCAGAUGGACGUGGACUCGAGUAAUGUAGAUGGGGAAUUCGUUGGUCCUAUUCCCCCAGCACCGGAUACUCAAGGGGAUAGCACUGAGGCUUCUGUUCAAGAGAACUCUUCUAAUGCUCAGAGUGGUGAUGAUGUCACCACGAAUGGUGAAGCAUGUGAUAUGGUCGAUGCAUCCAAGCUAGAAAGUCAGGAUAAUUCCAAUGGCAGUUUGCCUGUGGAUGCUGUCAAUCAGGAAGAUAACAAGAGUAACCUUCCAUUGGUUGGUGCCAGUGAAGGAAAUACUGCUUUAUCCUCUGAUGGUGAUGAUGCUGUCACAAAUGAGUAGAAUGACAUGGUUCCUGAGUAAAUAUCGUUUGUUGUGAUCUGAAGCUGAAGUCAGCGUCAGCACUGGACAAGGUAAUGAAGACAAUAUAUAUCAAUGGAAAUGAAGAGCAUCAAAGGAAAUCGUGCGAUCGGUGAUGCAUUGCUAAAAAUACUUGAGAUAGCACCAAGUUGGCAGGCUCCUGUGUGGAGCAAUUGAAUGCUCAUAGGUGUUGAACUACUGAGUUUUUUCCCUGCAUUUUAUGCCCAUUGUUGCUGGGGGACUUUACAGAUGUCAGGUCCUGCAAUAUGUUGAUUCUGUCAUUUUUCUUUGGAUGCUUACUAGAUAGUAAACCCUCAUCAUUGAGCCCUGUGUUGAACAUAUUACUUUUUAUGCUGGUUGGCACUGGUCGGGUAUGGAAAAAUUGCUUGUUACUGUGGAACCCAUCCAAUACGGUGGUAGGGGUUUAACCUUAGUUUAUUUGGUUUCGGACCAUUUUUGGAUGAAGCUUUUGCUCGCAUGUUCCAUUGAAAAAUUCCCAUUUGUGUUCACUAUCUGGCUAUCCUAUCGAAUUUGUCUUAGGCCAACUUGGCUGCUACUUGUGGAUUUAUAUAGCAGAAGAGGAAACUAUGUUAGAGUUUGUUCCCAUCUCAUCUGACAGCACCUUUCUAUGCCAUUUGUAAUUAGAGGCAAAGUGGCUGUCAUGUGAUACAUCUCAUUAGGCUUGAUUUACUGCUGCUUUAUUUCUUUAGUGUGAGCGCAUUACCGCAUGAUCUGGCAAAUUUGCUGCCGCUUUAAUCUUCAAAAGUAGACAAUCACAUCAUUUUUUCGGCCUCGUAAUCCUUGCUAAACGUGCAUGCCGUGCGACAAAAUGAGUGUCUUUCUCUUUUGUUCUUUAAUCUUUAUUUACCGUUUGGAGGACAUGGGCCCGCAUGCCAUGAUGCUGUAUCCCAAUUCACAAUGCGUAAUUUUGCAACACAACAUGGUUGACGUGCUUGGUCAAAAAAGUAAAAGAGAAAGAUUGGAGUCCCUUUUGGGUCGCAGAAAUUACGCACAAAUCAGUAGAGACCCCAUGAGUGGUGAAAAAUGAAUCCCGCAAUCUAAGGGGCUAGAUGUGUCCUUGACACCUUCAUAGUUCCAAGCGUUGACAAUUGUAGUUGAUGGUGCAGCUUUUCUGAGUCUUGAGCGCGUCCAAACGAGCAUGCUGGUGUCGGUCAAAUUGUCCGAAAGCUACCUGACGCAUGUUCCGAGACAAGUUUGUCGCCGAAAGAAUCUUGGUGCUGUCGCAUCCUCCUGCACCUCCUUUAAUUAUAAAGUUCAAAUCAAGAUUCGAUGGAAGCCAAAUCGAGAAGAACGAUAGGGGAUGGAUCUGAACAAUGGAAGCACGCGGAGUCCAUAUUUUUCUCACCAAUGGCCAAUACAUCUUCAAAGUAUCAGAUUUGAAAUACAAAUAAAAGAUACAAAUAUCUAACUAGUAUAUAUAAAAAGAGCAACUACAAUUUAAGCAAAAAUUUGAGCAUAUGCUACGGCUUUAAUGUUCAAAAUGACCAAGAGCCGACAGUUUCAACAACAGAAAACCUUUACAACUAGCUCUGCAUCCUCAGCAUGCCUGUACACGGAAAAGGGAAAAUAGCUACUAUACUUAUGUAUUAUGAUAUCUAUACGCCAAAUGAAGACCGUCUUUGUUCCUUCAACGGCACUUUUGUUGUCGGGUUCCUAGCAGGACAAAUGCCUGUUGUGCAUGUUCCUCUUCAUCUUCUCAAGGAUCCCUACAGCUUUCCUCCUCGCCCUUGAGGUUCCACCCUGCGCGAGCAAAGCUAGCGAGCCGUUUAUCUUCUCAUCCACCUCGACCUCCUUCAGCUUCAUCCGGUUGAACAUGCAGAUCGCAAAGAGAACCACCACCGCGUUCUCCUUGCUGCGGCUGCACUCACUCUCCCUUAUUGCACGGAGCAUGCAAGCGGUGCCAUCAAACUCGGUGAUCAUCUCCACCACCUCGUGGUUGCUCGAUAGCAAAGCCAGUAUAGCCAGGGACCCAUCGACAAGUAACUGAUCAUCGAUGGCUCUCAUUGCCACAUCCACGAUCCCAUUUUUUGUAGCUCUUGACUUGUUCUCAUGGAGCAGACACAGGUUGAAAAUUGCUGAUGCUGCAUCUUUCUUUGCUAUGAUGUUGCCAUUGUCGAGAAGAUCAACCAGAGGCCCAAUUGCCCCUAGCUCCCCGAUUUUCUCCUUGUUGGAGUCGAGUGCUGACAGAGUGAAGAUGGCAGCUGCAGAGUUGCCACGGCUCCCCAUGUCUCCUGAUUUUAAUGCCCAUAUCAGAAACGGGAUUGCUUCUGGGUCAUCUCCAAUAACCUUCUUGUUACUAUCAUGAAGUGAAAAAUUGAGAAUUAUGGUCACCAUGUCCUCCAGAACUUGUGGAUCGUUUUGCAAUCCUGGAGUGGAUCGAGCAAAGAUCAUUCGUGAGAUGGAAUCCGGCCUCUCUCCUAACACAGCUCUGAAAUCGCUGUUCUGCUUUGUAGCCAGUCGAAGAUACUUGAUUGCUUGCCUCAUUUCACUACUUUUUGGUGAGGAAGUGAUUUUUUUGAAUAUCUCAUCAAAUGUUUUCUGGUCACUGUUGGUAGCAUUGCUUUCCUCUUGGUUCUCAGCUGGUGGCAGAUUAAAUCUGUUCUCUGUGCACCACUGUAAUAUCAUGCUUCGAACAAGGUGAUUAGGAAUGAGAGUUGUGUCCAGAAGAGCUUGCUGAGUCUGCGGGCACAAUUGGUUUCCUGCACUAAACCACUCCUCAAUGCAUCGACGAUCAUAGGUCUGCAUGGAAAGAAACAUAAUAUUAUCAACACCUAGGCUAAUAAUAAUCCAGCUUUGCUAAUUUUCAAUUGCUUGGAAAUUUCAUCAUCUAAAACUACAACCACAUAGCAAUUGAUACUACGUGAGUAGUUGGAUGUUGAUACAAUGAUUCAGCUGAAAAGUCGCAAAGUUUCAAUAACUUGAAAGUUAUACACUAUAUAGCAAAUAGUACAAGCAUGAAAUCCAACAUGUUGAAUUGUCAGAUGAAUGUGAUGUGAACAAUAGAAGGCUAUCAUGCAAAACACAAAGCAAAAACCUGAAUUACAUCCAAGCAUCACAUAGUAUAACAUCAACCUGUGGAUGUAUGGCAUUUUGUUACAAAUUUUGAAUAUAGAGUUAACCGCACAUCCAAGCAUUAUGAAGAGUUUCAAGAUAGAAACCCCUCGUCUGGUCAAACAUUUUCAAACCUCGAACAUCUAUUAUUACAAAUACAUUAUACGGGAAGAUAUAUAGACACACAUGACUUCAAAUUAAGUACUUUUCUAGCAACAAAUUCAUAAAAAUAUACUGACAAAACUGUGGUACUAUAAAUAGUCAGUACAUCCAAAGUUAAAGAAGUAUGGUCUUCGUGGGCUAGUAGCAAUUGUGAGAAGCAUGUCUAUUUAUGUAAAUUUAAGAUUUUUAAAAAUUGUGAUCUUUACUUGCUUUUGAAGUACAGAAACUAUACUACACAGUUAACGGAGAAAUUAGUAAGUACCAAACAAGUAACACAAGGAAACAAAGAUUGUGUACAGCAACCAUUCAAUUCGCAAGCUUCAUGACGAAGAAACCCAAAUAAUUCCAGCAUUUGCUCAUCACAGAUUUACAAGUAUUGAAUGAAAUUAACAUGAAGUACAACUUAUACACGAGAGGAAACUAAUUUGAAAUUGGACUUUAAAUCGCAGAAAUGGAAAUCACCCCAAAUCCAAGCAGAUCUGCACUCUCAGCAUCUAUGAAAUACUAGCUAAUACUACCCAUUUUGCUAUAGGGACGAAGAUGCAUAUUUGUAAAUAUACAAGUAACCAAUACCAAAAUGUACCAGAUAUGACAUUUGCAGUUGCUAAAUUUAGAUAUUCCCGACAGAUAACUGUUUACCCAAACCAAAGCAGAGCCACAGCUGAUCAUGCAUUAAGUCUUAGCCUUAAACUGUCAAUUUAUUGUAACCUCAGAGAUUAGCAGACAGUACACGAACGUACUAUUGGAAACCCUGAUGGCGAAACGUACUUAUCUUUGUAUUGAUAAGAGCAGUAAUGUUCAUGUUUCAUGUACUCCCACGCGGGAAAAGUACAUCAUGAAUUCGGCACAGGGCAAACCACACGAAAAUCCCCAGAAACGGAAACUGCCGACACUUUGCUCCAAUUUUGAUGGAUUCGUAUGAACCAAAAAUACCAUACAAUUCUGCCCAAGAAUCGAUUACAAUGACCGGAUCAGUAGCAAAAAUCGACUACAGCAGCAGCCAGCAGCCAAGAAACGAAAGAAGCAACCAAGAAAACAAUGGCGGACAGUAGUUCGUGUUCCACAGCAAUGGCGCAGCAGAAUUAACCAAGAACACAAUCCAAAGCCAGUAAAGAAGCGCUGGCGGUUCCUCACCUGCCCAGACGAGACGAUGACAGGGUCGCUCAUGAUCCUGGACGAGAUCGGGCACAGGAACUGCGUCGGCACCUGUACGGCGUCCUUCUCCUCCUCCCCCUCCGCAGCGGGCCGCCUCCCCUCCCCGCCGCCGCCGCCGCCCUUCCUCCCGCCGGUCCCGAGCUCCGCCUCCCUCAGCGCCUCGAGCGCCGCGGCGGCCUCGUCGUACACGUCCGCGGCGGCCCCACCCGCAGCGACGGCCGCCAGGGAACGCCGCAGCCGCCUCCGUAGCGCCGCCGCGUCCUCCUCCGCGGGCGCCGGCUUCGCCAUUGUCUGCGCCGCGCUGCGAGGGGAGAACCCACUGGCUUUUAUUUUUUUUCUAUUAUUAAAUUAAUUAAUGCUCAGCGGUUUGGGUGGGGUUUGCAGCCACCACGGCGCGCCACGUAAGCCUUGCUGUAAAUUCCGGUGGCGUACAGCGUUGUACUCUACAGGGCCAUGGCAGUAAAUAAAUUGAGUAGGAAAAGAUUUUACUGCUGAUAGAACUUUUACAUUUUGUUACCCAUGGAUAUGCUAGUGUUUUUUUUUCUCUCUUGAUGUGAUCUGAAGCCUUUGGAUGAAAUUUACAAUUCAGAUAGGGAGCAGAUCUUGAGAGGUUGCAGGUUGGGAGCCUUGGUAGGUGUGAAGGUGUGAAGCAUGUGCCUGUGUGGAUGCUGGAAAGAAUUUCAAAACCAUGUUUGGGUUCAGUACAAGUGUAUUAAUAUAGUAUCUGAUUAAUUGACAAUAUCUUUAUUGGUGGAGAUAUGAUUGUUUCGUUUUGAUCUGCUUGGCCAUAAUUAUAAAUGCAAGAAAUAAUAUAUAAGAGGAGGAUAGAGUAAGAAAAUAUUUGUCGGUGAGGAUGACAAAAUGUCGGGGAUAGUAGAGUGAAGAAUAAAUAUUUGAAGAUAGAUCUGGUCAUAGAUAGUAACAUUUUGGAUUAAUUUGUUGGAGUAAGCAUUUCUAAACAUCGACCAUGAAGGCCUAGUUGCACAAUUGAGAUUAGCCAUUUGAAAAACGUACGAGUAUAUUUUUCUCCAAAUAUAGUUCCACAAUACUGUAAUUUUUGUUUGUUGCGCUUUAUCAAUAUUUACAGUAUGAAUUAUUGGUUAAAGUAAUUAUAAUGAAGUGAUGGAUUUGUAUUUUGUAAUACGUACCGGUGCUAGAAGUUCGGUGAUUACGAUUGAUUUUUAAUUAAAAAUUGGACGUAAUUUUUUUUGAAAAGUAAAAUUGGACGUACUUCAAGAGUUGGAUUCAAACCCGAACGAUCCAUUGUCCUUCAACCUCAAUCCGCAACAGCUUGCCUCUCUCUCUCUCUCCUCAAGCAGACCAAGGCCGCCAAGUCCCUCCACACUGCUUAAUUAAUUGGGCUCCGUCAUCUCUCGAAGCUCUCCCACUAGGUUAUUUUAUCGGCACAAUGAGACUACAUCAAAAGCAAUUUAAACUAAUAAAAAACUACAUAUCAACAAAUAUCCGUUUAAAAUACCUUAAAAAGGAGUAUACCCAAAAAAAUAUAAAUGAAACAAAAGCAUAAAGAGAAUAAUGUGCGAAACAAUAAAGUACUCAUUUUAAAACUAUUGCAAACUUUCACUUGUUAAAAGAAGUAAAAAAAAUAAGGCAAAGAGGUACUAUUUGGCCAUGAAAGCAAUAACCCAUUCAAUAAACAAACGUACUACAUGAAAUGAAAUGAAUGGAAUAAAUACAACAUAUCUUUCGGUCCAUUUUCUAGGCUGCAGCUCAUCUGGGUGUAGGUUCAUCAUAAUAUUUUCCAUCUCUUAGCUCUUUCUAGGCUUCAGAACACCUUGAGAGACUGUCAUGUUUAGGCGUGAUUGGGAAGGAGAUUAAAGUCGAGCAAACGUAUAGAAGUUUACAUGAAUUGGAGUGCAGAAAGUGGUCACAGUAGGCUAAAGGUUAGACACUUUCUACUGGGGCUUCUUUGUGCCGGAAAGUAGAUAAGAAACUCAUCUUUAAAGUCCAUAUUAAAUUACAAUAUUUUUUUAACAUUCAUUAACAUUUGUUUGACACUCAUCAAUAUCUAAAAAAAGUCUGGUUGAAUUGUUACCAACAUUUCUUGACAUUAGUCAACAUUUUUGUAUAUGUACCAAUAUUUUUAUUUAACAUUUUUUACACCCACCAAUAUUAUUACUCAACAAUUUUUUAUAUGCACUAUUUUUUUUGCAUUCACCAACAUUUUUUGGCUCCACAUUUUUUGACAUUUAUCAAUUUUUUGUGUAAAAAAUAUUGAGAUAAUUCACCAAAAAUGUUAAGAUAGUUAAGGUCAUCGUGGACAAGUUAUUGGGUUAUAGAUCUACCGGAAGAUAGAUAGAUAGGAAAUCUUUCUAUGAUCGAACAAAACUCAGGAGUUUAUGGACAGUGUUGGAUCUGGCCACUCAGCCCAGUAGCAAAAAUCACCUUCCAAUAUCUUAGUGGCCCACCAGCAUCCUAUGGGCCUUCCUCGGUCCAUGAUUUCAGUCACAGGCCAGAUUUACAAUCAAAACAAAGUUUUUCCCUUAAAAAAAUCAACACAAAGCUUUUACAUAAAAAAAGUGUGUUUUCACUUUAGUAAAAAAUGUGACUUUCAUCCCUCAUAUUUUUAAUUGAUACAUAAAGAUGAAAUUCACACUUUACCGAUACUUAAGAAAGAAAAGAGACCUUUUCAAACAUAAUAUUAGGUUGAUCUCUCUUAACAUCAGUAUACUGAUGCCAUUGAGUUUUUCAUGUAGAGCAACGGUGUUCAAGCAGGGAAAAUGCUUUUGAGUGGUGCCAAAAUGGCCCUAGUUUAAUCGAAGCGUUAACUAGGAGUACGCACUACGCACACGACUAUCCAAUCCCAACACAACGUGGAAAUAGCUAGCAGAGCCCGAUUACUGUAAAGAUCUGUUGCAAGUACGAUUUACAUGUCAAAGUGAAAUCUAAUUAAUUUAAAAGGGUUAUCCUGUACACACCUUUAUGAUGAGCCCAGAUAAAGUGAUAAACUACAGUUUACGUUGGUGACUAGCCUCAACAAAUUGGAUUGCGUAGGCUCAAUUUCUUGAAGAGAUCUUAAAUCGACGGGAUAUUGGUUAUAGGUUGACCAUCGACGCGGGAGAAAUCACAGAGGGAAGAGACUAAUCCUUUUUCUAAAAAACAAAACAACGGGAGAGAAUAGAGAGACGAACGCUCUGUUUGCUUCAGCUUAUUUAGCCGGCUUAUCAGCCACCAAACAGUAUUUUUCUCUCACAACAAAUCAGCCGUUUCAGCUUUUCAGCCGGCUUAUAAGCUGAAGCGAACACGCCCGAAGAUGGAAGAUUAGAUUAUUAUAAUCAGGCUUGUUUAUUCCAUCGUGGGGCUUCAUAUAAAUAGCCUUGGAUUACAUCAACCAAACCAUCAAAACAACCUGCUAACAAACUGAAUCAAUCCAAUGCUAAUCCAAAUUGCUGGCAAACCAACCUGCCGUGCCAGCUGACUACUCCGUGCGUCUCCUCUAAAACUCAAUGCCGACCAUAACAAAGACCAUACUGAUGGUGAAUCUGUAUUUAGUACCGGAUCCAAAUCCCCCUUUAGGAUCGGUUGUGCAACUGGUUUGUUAUGUUAGUACUAAAGGGGUCCUUUAGUACCGGGUCAUAUAACCGGUACUAAAUUAGCUGUCACGUCACGAGUGGUCGAGGUCAAUUUAUCUUUUUUUGUUUCUUUUCUCAUUUUCUUUUCUAUUUCUUUAUUCUAUAUUAAUAUUUCAUAUUUGUUUACUUUAUGUAUACGCUAAUAUAUGUAAAGUUGAUUUGAUUUAUAAUAUUAUAUUUGAGAUAAUAUUAUAUAUAGACAUCUUGUGCAUACACAUAUAUGAAUAAUAUUACAUUGUAUCAACUUUUCAAGUUCAACAUUUUGGACCAACUAUUCUGAACCUGAGUCCUAACGGUGAUACAGAUUUGAUCCAUCAUUAUGGAACUCUCCCGAUGGAUUACUACCUCAUCCAGAAAGAAUCCACAAAGUUGUUCUUGAAUUACCCUGAUUUUUUCUGUCUCGAGGAGUGCUUCCUUCAUGUGCAUCAUCUUUGUCAUUAACAAAGGUUAUUAUAUUAGAUCAAUGGAUCUGCACAAUUAGAACUAAUAUAUUGUUAAGAAUUUUGUCUACGUACUCUAAGUUCGUGGUCGGUCACAUGCCUGGGACCUACAAAGCCAUGGAUGAACUCACAUUCGUAGUAUCCGCAUAAAUUAUUUCCCGGAUCCUAUCUCAAACACUGUAUAUAUGGCAAAAGAUGUUAUAAAAUAUUUGUUGUGUUGAAGGAAGUGAUACAAUAUGUGUAAAUUCAAUGCAUACCGGGAAUUCAGGCUUGAUAUCAAGUUCCUCCUUGAAUUCACCUGGCCGAUGUUGACGGAAGCGAGCCCAUGCUUUGUUAAGCAUGACUAUGAGGUUGGUGUAUUGAUCUCUUGGUCUCCUCAAAGAGUCCAGGAUAUAGACCGCGUUUCAAUCAACCAUGAUAAUAAGGAGUAUUCAGUGGAAGCUGUACAUAUAUGCAUAGUUAGUCUUAUUUUUAACUGCUAGUUCGAAAAAGAAAAGAGAUGGAAACAUGCUUACUUGAAGUUGUACAGCAAAAGUAUGUACUUCUUGUAAUGUUGUUUGUCUAAAAAAUUAUAUAUAUUCUUCAAGGUUCGAUUUGAUUUUAUCUCUUAUAGUUGUCUUAUUUAUAACAUCCGGGUCCAUGAAGCCAACGACAUAGUAUCCUUUCCUCCGGCAAGCUUGAAUCUCCAUCCUGUAUGAUACAAAAUAGAAUAGGAGAUAAGACAUCGCACAAUAACUAGAGCGAGGAUUUUGAAGUUAGAGCAAAUUAAACAAUUACAGAACCAAGGAACUGAUAAGUGAUUUGUCAAGUGUAUCUUGAUUGUAAAGGAAAUAAAGUUCCUCGAACAGCACAUUUAUAAUGGCAUCCCUACAGAAAUAAUGUUGAUCUCCAAUCCGAACUUCGAGCAUGAGUAAACCAGUGGCUGAAGCCUCCAUGUACCAUUGGUGCAAUUUGAACAUCUUCGUUGGAAGAUGGUCCACUAACUGCGACCACACAAUCUCUUUCCCUAACUCAAAUUUCCAUUUACCAUCCCUACGUUGCUUUGGGAUGUGAUCCUCCCGUCAAAUUUGAGCUGCGGUGAGAUUUGUAUCUUUGGUGAAUAUAAGCAGGUUCUAAUCAAACUCCAAAAGUAUCUAGAGCGGGGCAAUUGAUUGGUUGGAUUGGAUUUCGAGCUAUUGAAUACUUGACCCUUUUUUCUUCUUCUGAUAAGACUUUGUUAUUGAGCGGUCGUAUUCAGAUAGUAUUAGUUUCUCUGGCUUUCUAGACAUUUUUCUUAAUGAAAGCCCGCAAUUUAGCCUUAUCAACUAGUGGAUCUUCCUUCACAGGAGGCUUUCAUUCGAAGUAAGCUUUAACCUCAGCAUACACUACGCAUCGAUUUCCUCAUCAAUAAUCCCGUAAGCUUUCUUGGCUCUGGUUGCUUCUCCUUCGGUUUCUUUCUGCUUCUUCUUUGUAGCCACAGCAGGCAGAACUGAAGGCGUCUUUCGCCUUGUAGCCUUACUCAUAACAGGGGGAGGUGGACUCAUGCUAGGUUCUCUGUCAGCUGGUGGAGAGCGUGGAGUCAUGCUAGGAUCCCUAUCAGCAAGUGGAGAGGGUGCCCUGGCAGAUGGUGUAGGUGAACUUGCCCUUGAGCCCUGAGGAGAUGAUCCCAAGGUUGGAGGAUUCGGCUACGGAAUCCUUAUAUAGCGCUUGGGCCAUAGAAUCCAACCGUGGAUGACUUCUCCUAGAUGCUUUUCCCCAUCACCCCCAGGUACCUCCAAUUCCAGAUCAUCCCAACCAUCGACCACUCAAUUCACCCUAACUUUGGUGUAACCGCGAGCUGGAAUCUCCAUGCCAUGAAUUGUUUGGACUUGGGUCGGUUGUUCAGUCACACCAUAAGCCACAACGAUGAGCUUGUUUUUCACGAGAGUAACAAGCUAACAAGUUACCCUCCCAGUGAUGUCGUCCAUUGGGUGGCGUUGGUUGUCCUCAACCACGUCUAAAGAUCAUCCAACUGCGCGUUCCGUGGAAGCGACGUUGCUUCAAUGCUAAGAGGGGCUUACGUCGACAUUAGCCCCUAAUGAUGCAGCUGCUUGUUCACUGGCUUGUUUGCUAAGUGCUAUAGCCACACGACGUUCGAUUGCUUCCUCCAUUCUUGCGUCUGUACAUGUUCUUGCAACUCUCGUAGCUGUCGUGCGUGUUUAGCCUUACUUCUUUGACGACUUCUGUAGGAAUCAAUGUGCUCACGAAAGGCAAACUUCAAUGAAAUUACACCUUUGCCUCGACAACAUCCAGGGUGUUCUGGAUUACCUAGUACCAUAGUCAGCUCAUCCUUCUCUCGAUCAAGCACGAAAGUUCCUUCGGCCGUAGCCUUUAUUAAUUCAACAAGCCUCGUAGCCUCUUCUCUUAAUUCUUGGCCGAACACAAAUGAUUCAUCUUCGGGAUUGAGUGUGCUGCCAUGAGCAUAAUACUAAUGCUUUGCUUGCUCCGACCAUUUGAGAGUCAUCAGUACAAUUCCCUUAGCAAUUAUGUCAUCUUCUAUCUCCUGCCAUUUGAUGAGCCCCUUCUUGUAACCUCCUAGCCCAAGAUGAUGAAAGUAUUUCUUCUGACGAGCAUUGUCAGUGUUGGUUUUAGUUGCCUUAGCGCUCUUUUCCGACUACUUGUACUGCACAAAUGAAUUCCCAUGAUCUCUUUACUUUGAGUGCUUCUUGAAAUCUGGUGUAAGGCCCUUCUUUAUGUAGUCUUUGUGCAGGUUCUUCUUGUACGUCUGAUAAGCAAUCUUUCACUUUUGCUUCAUCUACACCUGUGAAUGUGAAGUUUUCUUUUAUCUGCUCCCAUAUCAUUUCCUUCUCUCGCUAAGGGACACGUUUAUGGGGACCACGCUCUCAUUGGUUUCAGGGCUUUUCCAAUUCUGAAAGCUUAUUAGGAUGUUAUCCCUAACAAGAAACCCAAUUUGAUUCACCAAUUUGGUCUUAGUAUUGUCUGGAGCAAUUGAUUCACCCUCUUCAUUAAGUUUCAUGGUGAUGAUACAUUCCUCUAACUUUUUUUUCUUGCUUCAUUUCUGUUUAGGCCGGCUCGAUCCAGAUGGCUGAAAAUGAAAGAACUGUUAAUUCCCAAUAAUGUAGAGAAUUCAAAUCAUGUUUACAUAUAAUAAUUGCUAUACCUCGCCUUGUUGCCCAUGAUUGCCUCCCUCGACAAUUGGUUCCUCCUCAUUUCCAUCACUAGACAUGUUGAGGUAGAUGUCAGUCUGGUUGUGAUCGACCUCUUCGUUUGGUUGAUUGUUCAUGCGACCUUGAGCAUUCAAGUCCAUUAGGUAUUCCUCGUCCAAUCGGGCCUGCUCGUCCUCUGAUCGUGCCAUUGUAACUAAUAUAAUAUAAAAAAUAAUUAUUCCAAGAAAUAGUAGGCAUCAACAAUAAAAAGAAUGACUAAAAAAAGAAUUAAACACUUGUAGAAUUUGUUACAAUGAAUUGCUCGCCAUUUACAACCAUCAUCAAAUUUCUUGUAACUAAUAUAAUAUAAAAAUAAUUAUUCUAAUAAUUAGUAGGCAUCAACAAUUUUCUAAUAGUUCAUGCAUAAUUAUUAUAAAAAGAAUGACUAUAACUUAUACAUUUAAUUAUAAAAAAUGACUAAAAAUGAAUGAUUAAUAGUUAUACAUUUUGUAACAAUAAAUGACUACAAAAAGAAUGACACACUUAUAUAAUUUGUUACAAUAAAUGACUAAAAAAGUAUUUACAGUGAAUUGCUAGUCAUUCACAAUCAUCAUAAAAUUUAUUAUAACUCAUAUAAUUUAAAAAGAAUUAUUUAACAAUUAGUAGGCAUCAACAAUUUUCUAAUAUUUUAUUCACAAUUAUUAUAAAAAGAAUGACUCUGACUUGUACAUACAAUUACAAAAAAUGACUACAAAAAUUAAUGACUAAUAAUUAUACAUUUUGUAGCAACAAAUGACUAAAAAAAGAACGAAACACUUAUACAAUUUGUUACAAUAAAAGAUUAAAAAAUAUUUACAGUGAAUUUCUAAUCAUUCACAACCAUCAUAAAAUUUAUUGUAACUAAUAUAAUAUAAAAAGAAAAUUAUUCUAAAAAUUAAUAGGCAUCAAGAAAUUUCUAAUAUUUUAUGCACAUUUCUAUAAUUUAUUGAACUAUUUGAUUAAUUUUGUAACAGUAAAUGACAACAAAAAUAUUUACAAUGAAACAUAGUCGUUCACCAUCAUAAAAUUUCUUGAAAAUUUCUAGAAGUAUCAAAGUACUUUUCAUUUAUUUCUAGAAAUAUCUAACAAUUCACAGGAUUUUGUAUCAAGGCAUAAUCAAUGUUGUACAAUUUACAAUUAAUAGGCUUUUCCAAUAAUUUUUUUUAUAAUUUUCAGCUAAUUCAAGAAUUUUUCUAUAUUUUCUAGCUAAUUCAAAUUUUUUUCUAAAAUUCAUAGGUAAUUUCAUAUACUGUAGAAAUAAAAAAGGAAAAAUAUAAAAAAUUGACGUCAGCCAGCUAUGGGCUUACGUCAGCAGAGAAGAUGAGCCCGCAGCCGGCCACGCGCGCGCUUCAUGGAGGCCAGAGGCGCCAGCGGUGGAGUGGGGUGGCGCCGAUGGCCGGGUUAGGGCUGGGGCAUUGUCGGGGAGGAGGCCGGCGGGGCAUUGGGGAGAGGAGGGCUGCUGAUGUCAUUCGGGAGAGGAGGGCUGGGCGGCGGCGGAGUGGGGGAGAGGUGCGCGCUGUGGCACUGGGCGAAGGUUGGGGGCGGCGCCGGUGUCGAGGAGGAGGGCAGCGCCGAUAUCUGGGAUGAGGAGUGGCCCGACGGGGCUGGCCGAGCAAGAUCACGGCGCGGAGGCUCACGACGACGGGGGCACGCGGCGGUAGCGUUGCGCGAUGACGGGAGCCCACGGGAUGAUGUCGAGGCUGCAACGUGGAGGAUCUGAAGAGGGCCAGCACGAUGUCGAUCAAAAUAUUUUGCUAAGUGUUGGUGAGGGACGGGGGAGGAAGACGAUGGGGACCCUUUAGUACCGGUGCUAGCCAGCACCGGUACUAAAGGUCGACCUUUUAGUACCGAGUCCAGCUACCACCCGGUACUAAAGGGGGGCAGAGCGCGCCAAAACGAAACUGUCCCCCUUUAAUACUGGGUAUUUUUAUCACCCGAUACUAAAGGGUUUUGUAGCCUAUUGUUUUGGCUUCCCGCUUAAAGAUUUUUUUUAUUUUAUUUAUUUUACAAUUGCUAUUAUAUUAAUUUAUUGCGUAGCAAAUUAAAUUACAUCCAUAAGAUUGCAAAAAAAAAAUUGCUAGCUUGAUGUUGAUUAGAUAUACACUAUAAAAAUAUUAGAUGCAAUUAAAUAUCAAACAUAGUAAAAUUAUUAAUUUUAACUUAGUAAUAGGUUAUAAUGGUCAUAAUACUUAUGUUAACUUAAAAUUUUGACAAAAUAGAUAUUCUGACCAUGCAAAACUUUAGAAAAAUAGUGCCUAUAGUGUUAUUAACAUGUUUACCAUGACUUAGUCAUAUACUUGUUUAAUUGUAUCUAAAUUUAUUGUAUAAUAUUUAAUGCUGCUACAAAAAAUCAAAAUAUUUAAUAUUUUAACCAUGCAAAAAUUAGUUCUUAGUUAAUAGGGUGAGAUUUUUGCAAAUAGUAUUUUAAUAACCCAUAGAAUACAUUACAUAUCAUUACAAUGCGUUAUUACAUUACUUUGUCAUUGACCACAAAACAUAGCAUAAUGGUUCUAAUACAUUAUACAUCAUUAUCUAAUGGAACGUUAAUAACCUUCCUCUUGACGAACGUCCCUUGGUUGUGAUCGCGACGUAAGUACGGAGCGUCCUCUUAGCUAACAGGAUGGUUGGGUCAACCUCGAUUGAAAAUGGAGGAAGAUCAUCGAACUGAUCAUAAUCUUCUGAAAUGGCAGUCUUGUCCUCAACUCCAAAAAUUUUUCUUUUCCCUGGAAGAACUAUGUGGCUCUUUGGCUGGUCAUCUGACUUAUUAGCACCCUUUUUGGUUUGCUUGACAUGUCCUUUACAUUGAAAACUUGAGUCACAUCAUUGGCUAGGACAAAUGGUUCGUCUAUAUCCAAUCUUGUCGAGGUCCACUAUUGUCAUCCCAUAGUUGUCUGUCGUUAUGCCUCAUCCCAUACUACAUUACCUUCGCAGGAACUUUCUUCUUGAUGGGCUGCCCCUCAACAUCACCAGGGUCAUCUUGCCUGAUCUUAUAAUGCAGUGCAUCGCACACAGGACAAGCCUCCAAUUUCUCGUAUUAUGCACCGCGAUAGAGGGUACAGUCAUUAGGACAUGCAUGUAUCUUUUGUACCUUCAAACCCAGAGGGAAAAUAACCUUUUUAGCUUCAUACAUUAAGGACGGCAAUUCAUUCCCCUCGGGAAGCAUGUUCUUUAUUAUUUUCAUUAACUCAUGAAAACUCUUGUCAGAAAUUCCAUUUGUUGCCUUCUAUUGCAGCAUUUCUAGUGUGGUACCUAACUUUUUGUACCCCUAUUUGCAAUGUGGGUACAAUAAUUUAUUAUGAUCAUCUAACAUGCGCUCAAACUUCUUUGACUCCUUCACAUUUUCGCAGUCUUCCUUUGCAUCUCACAACACCUGACCUAGAUCAUCGGUAGGACCUUCUUCUGCAACCAUCUCUUCUUCAGCCUCACCCAUUGUAGCUUCUGCAAAGGUACCUCCUUGAGUCCAGUUCGGAAUGUAGUUAUCAUCUUCUUCUUCAUCAUCAUCAUCUUCCAUCAUAACUCCUUUUUCCCCAUGCUUGGUCCAAACAAAAUAGUUAGUCAUGAAUCCUGAAUUGUAUAUGUGGGUGUGAAUAGUCUUUCUGGAUGAGUAAUCCUUCUUAUUUUUGCAAUUUCUGCAUAGACAACAAAUAAAACCAGAUGGUGGCUUGUUGGACUAUGCCAGAUCGAUAAAAUCACGCAAGCCAUUAAUGUACUCCAUGGAGCGUUUGUCCACGUUGUACAUCCAUUGCCGAUCCAUCUAUAAAGUAUUACUGAACCAAAAAUAUUCUGAUCAUCCAUAGAAUUAUGAAGCAUAAUAAACAUGAUACAAAUUUUAUAAAACUCAAAUGUUGCUGAAAGUUUAGAUAUAAAUACACGAAUUUAAAUUUCAGACCCAAACAACAUGAUACACUAUGACAAACUAUCCACUGAGUACUACCGAUGAGGACUUUAAGCAUCCUUGGGCGGCAAAGAUGAAGGUUUAGCUGACCUAGCCUCACCCUGUGGAUUAUUUGUGCCUCCUACAAUGGUACUACUCAGUGGACUUGAAACCUCCAGGACUAGCGGUGGAGCAUAACGACCACUAAAAGGAGGUUCUGACCCGCCGCAAUAACAUCUUCAUGACAUCUUUCCAAAUAACGAAGCAUUGCUCUCUCACCUGCUCCCAUUUUCUUCGGCUUCUCAUGAGGGCCAACUAUGAUUUUCCCCCUUGCACGAGAGAAACGAUGAUCACCUCCACCAUCACCACUCCCUCCAACAGCAGUAGCCAUCUCUAUGUACCACAAUUUAUUUAGCUCAUAUUUGCAAAUGACUAAACUAUGAGCAAAUUAUAUAUUUUUCCCACAAUUUAUUGAGCUCAAAUAUAACAUAUAAAUAAAAAAUUUCUCCAUUGUAGCUUAUUCUAAAAAUAACUAAUUACAUACCUCUAUUUAAUCUUAUUAUCUCUAUGUACCACAAUUUAUUUAGCUUAUAUUUGCAAAUGACUAAACUAUGAACAAAUUAUAUUUUUCCCAUAAUUUAUUUAGCUCAUAUUUGUAAAGGACUGAACUAUGAAAUUAAUCUCUCUAUUAUUCCUCUAACCUCAUAUUGAUCUAUUUAUUAAACUAAUAUGAAACAUAGCAUCCAAAAAAUUGUAGCUCGAACAUAUAUAACAUAUGCUUAUAAAUGAAAAAUUUCUCCAUUGUAGCUUAUUCUAAAAAACACAAAUUACUCUAGCUCUACAUCAUAAAAUUUAGUACACUAACCAUGUAAAAAGGGAGUAGAAUACUUGAAUGAGUGAAAUCUCCGCUAGAUGGUCAAAAAUCCAGCAGCGCCUCCCCUAGGUCACCAUGGAAAGGAUGAAGCCCGAGCUGUGGUGGGUGGCUCGGGCAGGAGGAAGAAGCCGGAUUUGUAGGUUGGAUGUUAGUACCAGGUGGAGGCUUCACCCGGUACUAAAGGUUGCCAAUUAGUACCGGGUGAAACCUCCAUCCGAUGCUAAAAGCCCUCAAGCACAUUAGUACCGGUUAGAGGCUUCACCCGGUACUAAAGGCCCUCACGGGGGCUCCUCGGGGACUAGCUGUUAGGUCCGGUACUAAUGCUCAUAUUAGUACUGGAUCAAAAUGCAACCGGUACUAAGGGUUGACAAUUAGUACCGGUUGAAGCCUCUAACCGGUACUAAGGAAUGAAUGCUCAGUUUUCCAAUAGUGCCGGUUCGAGGGGAUGACGGUUUUGGUGGUUUGGGCAAAUACGGGAAAACUUAAGAAAUGGUAAAUCUUUAAGCACGACAAAAAAAGGCACAAAAUAUUGAUCUCGAAGUUCUAUAUGCUCCUACGUUUCUCUUUUUGGUGAAAGUAUAUAUUUAUCCCCAUCUGCAUGCAUGCCCAAUUCUUUCAUGCUUACAGUUUGUAUUCAUCUUGUGUACCUCUUAAGGAAAUCAUGAGGUAACAAACUAAGAAGGCAUCUUUGUGGUGCUUCACUUGGUCUAAUAAUGUCGCACUUUUGUGUAACUUUUUCAUCUCUUCUAUUCUAUUUUCUCUAAUUCUAUUCUACCUUUCCUUUUGGGCUGUCCCAACUAACAAAGUAUCCCAAUUUGAUCCAGACCAGUUUUUUUCCGGGCUGCCGGCCUAAAAAAUCAAACCCAUAUUCAAACCACUUUUUUGUAGUAUCUUCCGCUCUUCUUAGGUCCAAGUUGAGUACUAAAAAUAGAAAGCUGCUGCAUUUGUUUUAAUAUAAUUUUAUAAUGUAAUAUCUCAUUCCAAAAUUGGAGUGGAAAAGAAAAGCAUCUACAAAGGAAACAAGCAAGACCGACAUGUGCCAACACCUAAUGCAGAAUAUAGCUAAGUGUCUUGCAGUGUGUUCUAAACUGGUUUGCAUGCAGGAUAGCACACAGUUUCAUUAAGAGUCCAGACAGUCAUUAUUUUUAGCAUAAUUCUUAAUUGUAGGUGAGAUCUAUGGACUUGACUUGAGUAUAUACUAUGAAUUUUAGGUAAGUUAAUAAAGUGGCAUGUGAUAUCACAACAUCUAUAUUUUAGUGAAGGGCGCAAGAUAUACUCCUAUUAGUUAGGGAUAUGAUAAAUCUAGAAGUGCAUAUAUAUUUGAGGUAUGUGAUAUCACAACAUUUACAAGCCAGAAAGGUGCAGGCCAAGCCAGAUAUGCAUUGAAUGACAUCCCACUCUAUUUUAUUUCAAGGGAGUCUAUAUAUAUUUUAGUGAAGGGUGCAAGAUACACUCUUAUAGUUAGGAUAUGAAUAAAUCUAGAAGCACAUGCAUAUCAUUUAUUUUUUCCUACACACAUCAUAACAUCUGAGGUAUAUGUGAUGUCACAAUAUCUACAAGCUAAACAGGUACAUGUCAAGCCGGAUGCAUUGAUUGACAUCCCACUCAAUUUAUUUCAAGGAAAUCUUUAUUUUAGUGAAGGGUGCAAGAUAUACUCUUAUUAGUUAGGGAUAUGAUAAAUCUAGAAGCAUAUAUAUCUAUCACAUAAAAAACCUUGGUUGUGUUAUGUGGCUUUUUUUCCCAUCUAUGGAACAUUAUUUUAUGAUUAGCCCCCUGAUUUAAAAGCAUAUUGUUUUAAGAUUUCUGGUGGUCAAAUGUUUUUAACUUUAAUUAAUAUCAAUUGACACUGUAAGAUAAGAUGCCACUAAUUCACCUUUAAAAGUACUAUAGCUUUCUUUGGAAUGCCAUGUUUUCAUAGAAUAGUCAAGGUUUCAUUGUGAAUCAUGUUGAUAUCCCACAUGACAUGUAUUUUUGAAUUGGGCAGAAGCACGAGUUUCACCUAUAUGAAUUGUUAAAAUAUUUAACUCACCUUCCUAAAAUUGCUAGUGACGGAGCAAUCUAGUGGUCGAGUCUCAAAUUGGUUGAAGGUCGACCUAACUAGUUCUCAUCGGGAGUUGGGAGAAAUGGGAAGGGGAGGAGGGAAAUGGCAGUAGUACAAAUGAGUCAGCGAGAAAUGACGGCAAAAGACAGAAUGUGCGAACAAAUAGGUGGCAUAUAUAUAGUAUUCCUGGUGUUCAACCAAAAUUGAAACUAUUUUCUUUUGUUGUUUUCACGACAAUUUAAAAUGACUUAACAUUUAUGUUUUUUGCUCCUGUAAAACUAAAUCAUAUAAAUGCAAAUAAUUUUUAUACCCUUGUUCAGCCAUCUAACUUGUAAAUCAUUUUUCAUCAUGUACUUUUGAUUUUUCAAUUGUUUAUUUAAAUCACAAGUGAUGAUUCAUUAAGAAUACAUAUAUCUAUUCAAUUAUAACACUGUUUUGUGAAUUUAACACAGUGAUAAGACAUUUUCAAAAAGUAAACCCAGGCGAGGUAUUUUGCAGGUCAAGUGUGAAAAUUAAACAUUUCGUACAGAUGAGAGCAAUAUUAUGAAGGACAAAUAUGUAAGUUUGCAUUAUUCAAUGCAGCACGUCCACCAGAUGGCGCAGUCUAAGCUGGUCUGCAUCAUCAUAUCUGCAAGUAUAUCUCUAGGAUAUAGUGAUUUAUUCAUCCAAAUUUGUCAUGGAGGUGUUGUUCUCUUUAUACUUAUUGUGGCAUCUCAUAAUUGUCCUUCUCCGUAGUAUUAUUUUUUGAAAAAAAGAUAUCUAGCAGCAACGACAAACCUUGUUGCUCUAUAAAUAGGUACUGUGCUUCUAACCCUUAAGAAACACCAAAAUAUUCCAAUCAUCAUAACGUUGAAGCUCAUGGGCAAAAGAAAAAAGUUAAGCCCUACUCAUGGGUUUAGUGUCAUCGUAGUUGAUGAAGAUAAACAUCAUGCGAACUCUACAAGGUCUAUGCUUUGUACACUUAACUAUCAUGGUAAGUUCCUUCCAUUCCGAUGUGCAAAUGUAAAGCUCAUGGAAGAAAAGCCAUGCGCAGCAGAUGGUAUUAUACCCCUUUUUGUGGUUUGUAUUUGUGAAUCACGUUUCCACUAUGAAUGAUUUUGCGCGCAGCAAUUUUUUACUUGUGAAGUUCCUGAAAAGGGGAGGCAUUCCCAUUUUUUUUUUAACAGAUGUUUUAUUCCACAUACAGCGUAAACUAUUUCUUUCUUUUUCAGCAACAGCAUAUACAAGUCCCAUAAAAGCACUUGAUUUCCUUGAGGGUCAUGCCCAAGAGGUUGAUAUGGCUUUGGUAGCAGUGCACAUGGAAGAGAUGCAUGGUUUUCAGUUCCUCGACGUGGUUAGAGAGGACCAUAAAAACAUUCAAGUGAUUAGUAAGUGGCAAAUUCUUUCCUAACUUUGAAUCCAAUUCUUUCUAAUGUGUGUAUCCCCUUUUGUUUCUUUGAUUUGCUUGAUAUAUAUAUUUCCUUUUUGAAUAAAUAGCUAAUAAUAUGUCCUAAAUUUAAACCAGUGAUGUCAAAUGAGACAACAAUGGAUAUCAUGAAGAGAUGCAUUAAGCUUGGCGCCUGUUUUCUGGUGAACAAGCCUAUUGAUGCUCACACUAUACAUAACAUGUGGCGGCAUAUUGACUUCGGAAAUUCAAGGAUGCACAAUAUCAAGAAGUCAUUACAAGGUUGACACCAAUGCGGUUACUGAUGCUUUUGCUUUCAACAGUUGAUAGAAAAUCUAAUAUAAUGCAUUCUCACCUGGAUCAGAAGCAUGACAUUGUUUAACCGUCUCCAGCAUUUUAUUAGGUUAAUGGUAUUAUAUGAACCAUUAUUUAACUUGUAUAACCUAUAAUGAAACCAUGAGCAUGUUUUGGCCAACAGUGACUAUAAAUAUUUUUGCUAACAUAAUAAUAAUUCUAAUUGUUUAUUUUACAUUUGAACACCGCUAGCUAUGAGGUAAAAGAAAGAAUAUAUAUUGUUCAGACUAGAGGCUAUAUAUUGGUUUUAAAAUACAAUUGAUGCACUAUAAUUUGCAUGCAUGUAUAGGUAAUGGAGAAGAACAAGAUGUAAGUUACUGGAAGGAGAGUGCUAAAACGAAGAAAGGUUAUAUUUGUUGGAAUGAUUAUCUGCAUAGGAAGUUCCUACAUGCUCUUGAAAUACUUGGAGAAGGUUAACAGAUUUCUUACUUGCAACACUUCCCUUAGAAAUUUCAAAGAACUUCAGAUGGUUCCAAACUAUGCAAUCCUAUUUAUUUAUUUACUUGUUUAUUUCAGGUGCUGCUUCUCCUAGAAACAUAGAGAUUCUCAUGAACGUGGAAGGUGUUAAUCGCAAACAUAUUUCUUCUCAUCUGCAGGUAUGCUGAUAGCCUAUAUAUAAAGAAAAUCUGCACAAUUUAUCUUCUUCUUGAAAUAAAAAAAAAACAUGCCUGCUAAUUGCACCCUCAAAAUAGUUCCAUUGACGUACCUAUAUGUGCUGAUAUUUCUACUCUGGUUCCUCGUUAAGUAAUCAUUAAGUUAAUUGUAAAAUUGAUCUUUUUCCUCCAGAAAUAUCGAAAGCGCAUGGAAGCAGGGAAACUAAACAGUGCAUUGGAUGCAACAAAGUGCAGAACUAGUGCCUCAAAAUCCGAAUCUGCAAAGAGUCAUCAGGAAAGCCCUAACAAUAGCCCAGACAUCCAACAGGAAGAAAUGACAGCUGUAAGCCUAUAAUGCAGAACAACAUAGAUAUUAUUACUGAUAAGAUAAGAUGAUAUAACUUUGCAAAUGUUGGAAGCUGUCUAAGUACUCCUUUUGAUUGGCAUGCAGGAUGAAGACAUGCCCCAUGCUCAGAUGGGAAGCUUCUCUGACAACAAUGCUCAUGCCGCAAUGCGAAGAUCCAUUCAAUUUAGCACCAUGUAUGAUGAGUCCCAAUAUCUCUAUUUUUCUUCUAGUGAUGGUGGAGUAGAUAUGAUGGAAGAUAGAAAUGAUGACACAUGUGCUUUUGGUUUUAGUGCACUAGUUAGCGCUGCUGAAACUUUCUCCGCAGAUGGCACUAAGGAGAUGUUGAACAAUAACAGUUCUGAGGAGCAAGAUUGUCAAGGUGACAAGGUGGGCAAAGCUGUAAAGCUUGUGGAAUAUUCAGACUCCGAGGCUGAUGAGAUAUAGGAGUAUGCUUGGUUAUAAGAUUGUUCAUGCUUGUAAACUGUCAGUGCACCUAUCCAGUAAAUGGUGUGCAUGUGUGGUAGUGUUCAUAUCUCUACGAAAAAUGAGAUAUCACAUAUGCCAAAAAUUAUAGUGAUAGGAGUUCGGAGCAUUUGGAAAUGUGAUGUUGUCUACUAGAAUUGCGAAAUCCUUGAGUAUGCUGGUAAGCAACUAACUGAAUAUGCUGGUGAAGUUUGAAGUUCAAAAUUUUGAUCACGCCAGCCUGUUCCGCUACAAACUCAAAUUAGUACUGAGAUCAGAUAACAGGAUCUGUUCUUGGGCUAUGCUAGUCUAAAUGCACGCUGUUGUGAAAAGACUAUAUAUUCUUGUGUUAAAACUACACGUAGAAAUCCAAUAUCGAAGCUGGGUUUAGGGAAAUAAGGAAUUCAAAUAGGAAUAAACCCAAGCUUGCGGAGCAGAUAUUUGUUAGAAUCAGUAGUUACAAGGAACUCUACCAACAUUUAGAUAGAAAUCGAAUAUAGAAACAAAAUAAUGAUCUCACUAAAAAAGUUCAACAUCCAGUACCAUACUAUGGGCUUAAAAAGGACAACAAUUAGCCUUUCGUUACAAAUGAUGCAAAAAACUAUCUUUUAUUUUGUUGUACAACUAAGCUUAUUUAGCCGCCAGGAACAUAAAGAGCGAACAUAAAGGGACCUGGGAUGUAAAACUCUCUCUCAAGUCACUCGGUAUGAUGAUAUUUACGCAUGCAGGAAUUGAGGCAACAAAUGUAGAUUACUAGUGAAAGUAAGGUCACAUAUCUUAAGUGGUUAUGAUGGCCUUGAAAAAGAGACCAUGAAUUUGCAAGCAGAAUUCUAUAUAGAGCAGGUGAGAAUCCAAGGAAGGGCAGAAAUCAGAAUAAGUUUGAAAUCAACAACCCCGUUCAUCUUCAUUACUUCGAAUGCCUCAGCCAACAAUUUAAGCAGAGUAAGAAAACAUCGCAUCUUCUUCAUAAAGUCACGGUAGUUCUAGAACAGAUUGUUGACUGUUCAAAGUUGGCAUGAUGCUUGGCUUCCACAUAAUGUCAAGGUAGUUCUUGAACACAGCACUAUAUAUUUCUCAAAAUGGUACAAAAGUAGCUAGGGAGUGCACAUUCUACAACAAAAUGAUCUAACUUGUAUCAGUUGAUAAGUAGUUUGUGAACUAGCCCCAUUGCUCAGAUUGAUUGCCUACAAGAAAUAUGAUAGCAAAUUAGAUAUGUUUUGAGACAGAAUAAUAUGUCAACAAAUUAUACACCUUUUGCUGAAUGGAAUAGCAUAUGAAAUUGACGUGAAUCAGUUAGUAUUUAAAAGCAGAAAAAGUGUUGUCAUGAGAGCACAUUAGGCAGCAACCUAUGGCUGAAUUGUGAAAAACUACCUACACAACAUUGGAAGUGCAGAGGUAGCAUAUCUGCACAAAUAAGGAUGGUCUUGGAUCGAAACUUAAUUGCCAGUUUUCUUUUAUGCAAAAAAAGGCAACUAUUGUUAACAAAGCAUAGGCGAACAAUCAUAUGGCAUGCUGGAACUAGGAGUGUUUCAAAAGAGCAUGACCACCAGGUUUUAAUAAUAAUAAACCAAUUUUAUUUUUUUCACUAAAAUAUUUCAGCUUUGAUUGAAAGGUAGGUACUUUAAAUAAUUCAAAUAAAAACACUUCUUAAGGGAAUUCAGGUUUUCCAUUAUUCACAAUUUUACCAUCAGUGUUAUAACUUAUAAUCUUGAGUGCAAUGCCUCCCUACAUCAUAGAAUAUAAUGAGCCUACGCGCAAGGAUUUAAUAGUAUCCAUCAAAAAAAACUUAUUAGUUGCACCUUGAAAAAUCCCCAUUUCCACACACCCUUGAGGCAGACUCAUGUAAAAUGAUCAGGCACAGAAGUAAAUGGAUCAAUGGCAUACCAACUCUCAUCCAAAACACACAUGAAUUAGAAUGAACAAAGUAUGUUCAAGCAAAUAUGCAUCAGUAGUCUUAACCAGGUGAGGAUAAACUUGCAUAGAUAACCAAAAAAACAGAGCUUCAGGAAAAAAACUCUCUGAACUCUAGUUGAGCAAAAGCAGACAGCUGAAAUUCCUUUGCCAGCUCAUACUGGGUAAAAAUACAGAAUAAAUUAAUUUAAAACAAAAUUCUUGAACAUUAGCAGAAAGUGCUUCCGAUUUCCGAAACAUUAGCAGUGAUAUAAUUAAAAUAACCAUUAGCAUAAGAUAAACAUGACUGAUUUUUGCAAGACAGCACAAUAUGAACCUUGAUCGGUGUAAAUAAAUUUGUAAAACAAGGCAAAACUUCAUCAGCUAAUAGAUCCUGAGAAAGGUACCAGCUGCAACAGAGAUUAAUUGAGAAAGUAAGGAAGUUAUAAAGCUGCAUGAGGAUACAUAAAAGGAUACAGCUGAAGGCUAAUAACCCAGAGCCCUGUAUUAUUUAGCUACUGCAAGAUCAUGUCAAACAGCAGUGUAAAAAACAAGUGUCAAACACUCAAAAAUAUAUAACAUUAUAUAACAAACAUACCUGACAUAGAAAGCAAAAAUAAUCUCUAUUAUCCUUCAGUGAUGGUGACCAUGCUUUCUUUCAUGAUGUCUGCGAUGGUGUGCUUCCUCAGUAGCAUCACAAAGCUUGUCUAUCAGGGGAACUCCAUCAGAAUAUGUGUUUUGGGGAUCAUAUCUAUCGCUGAACUGGUCUUGAGUAACGGAUAAUGAUCUAUGUCGCUUCUGACUAGCUCUACUUCUAUCACUGCUCCCUUCUCCUGACAUGCGAGCAUAUUCUGUGACAGAAGAUCUUUGUGAUUGUGUUGAACAAUCACUAGAUUCAGGACGGUGGUCUGAGACACCCUUCUUAUAACCAUAAUUUCUAUUAUCAUUGGAGCUUCUUUGACGUCUAUGGUUCUCUUGCUGGUAAGGAUAACUUUGAUCUAUUUCACUUUCUGAUCCUACACCCCACCUAUUUUCAUUCUCAGAUAAAUAACGCUUCCCAUGAGUUUCAUAUCUUGAGGUCUUGUACGAAUCUCUUGUGUCACGGCUCCUUGAUGAAAAUCUUCCCAAAGAAUCAGAACGUGGUGACUUGUUACAACCAGAUGACCGAGAACCCAAUGCUGCCUUAUCAUGAGAAGAGCUGCUAGAAAAAUCAUAACUUCCUUGAUAUGUACUGCCAUGAGAGUUGCUCUUAAGCACAUUUGGUGCUAUGUCAGCAGGACCUUCCACAAGACAACCAAUACCUCCUGCCUGUUUGAUUUCCUCCAUAUGCUCAUCGAUUAUGUCUCUUAGUAUCUUCAUAAGUGAAAGGAAACCAUCAGGUUCAUAUCUUCAUCAAGGUAACUAACUUCCAGAAAUCAACAGAACAAGAGGUGAUGCAACAUAUAGAAGCUUUUUCACUUGUUCCAUCAGCAGUAAAAAUGAGGUCAAACUGAUACAGUUUAAGAAAUUUAGUGAAAACAACUUUUCAAUUGGAUAAUUAGGUACAGUAGGGAAAUGAAACUUGACCAAUUGCAGACAGGAAACUACUCUAGCCUUCUUAUUUGGAGUCAAAGGUUGUCCUGUUUGCAAUGUUAGAUAUAAUAUAUCACAAGAAGCUAAAGGCUAGUCAAAGAAAAUAAGAUAGAACCCGUUUGCAAUCUGUAGGAUAAUCAGAAAAAGCUGAAAUUAUAUACAAAUUUGGUAUGCACCUCUGUAGGGUUUCGAUUCACUUUCUUGCCACGGUAAGAUGCUCUUCUUCGUUUGUAAUCUCGUUCUUCAGCUAAAAGCUCCUCCUUUGUCUUGGUUCUAGCAGAUUCCUAUCAAAGAAAAAGAAGAGGCAACAUAUAUUAAAAUGAAUGUCAUACUGUAUUGAUAUCAAAAGUAAAGCAAAGUAGUAGCAAAAACUUAUGCAAUUUCAACUCUUAAUUUAUUUGCAAAUCUAUCUCCACUCAGUAUGUGUAUACAUUUUGACAACCAACUUUGAGAUAAUCUAUUAUUUUAGCAAGUGUUUCUCUAUUAAACAGUAAAAGAAAAGCGAAUAAGUAUGUCAAAUACAAAUAAUGCCUACAGAACAAUUAAGCUUCACAGAACCUACAGUACUACUACUGCAUGAAGCAUCCUUUUUUUUUGCAAUUGAACUGUCAUGACUCAAAAUGAAUUUACAAUAAGUACUAUCCUUAAUACUACUCCCAUUUCGAAUAUAUAUCCUACACAAAUACUCCCUCCGUUCCAAAAAAAAAAAAAUCAUUCUAGAAAUUCUAGGACAGAUUAACAAGGAGGUAAAAUGACCUUGCUUGCCACUAUUUAUUAGCCAUAUUUGGUGCUAAUUGACUGCCGCAUGCACAUACACAUACUAAAUGGGGGUAAUGACUUGUUUUUGGGACAAAUUUUAAAUCCCAGAAUGACAUUUUUGGGGAUGGAGGGAGUACCUAAGAAGCAUCAUUCUUGCUUUUCUUAGAAGAUGAGAUUCUGGUCAAUCUAAUGGGUGCAAGUUUGAUACAAUUUCAUAUAUUAUGGCAUUUGCCUCCUAAUAUGCGGACUGGACAUAUAUUGCAAAACAAAAGCAGCAAUUGUAUCAACAAUAGACUUAUUGCAUAAAACUGGAAAAUGUAGAGACAACCGUGUGGUAUCUAGAUUCAGGCAACUAUUUUUCAAAAGAUUGGUUGCAUGUCUAUACCUGGUUCUCUACUCGCCGUGACAGAAUUCCAUCAUACUCCAUAACAGUUCUGUAGUUUGGUCUGUUCGAUCGCUCCAAGUUCCCUCGUUCCAAUGCUUGUGAAUACUCAAUUAAUCUAUAAGAAAAUUGCAUGCAUCUAUCAAGGCAAGAAAAUGUUUUGCCAAACCAAGCAAAAGUAAUCAAAUGUAAAAGGAGGGGGGGGGGGGGGGGGGGGGGGGGGAAUCUAUGAAUUACUAUCAUCACCAGAGAUUAAUACUCCCUCCGUCCCAAAUUACUAUUCGUUUUGGCUUUUCUAGAUACAUAGCUUUUGCUAUGCACCUAGAUAUAUAUUACGUCUAGAUACGCAGCAAAAGCUAUGUACCUAGAAAAGCCAAAACGAAUAGUAAUUUGGGAUGGGAGGGAGUAGCUUUGUUUGCAUAUGGAUGUUGUGUGCAACAUGCUACUUACACAUGAUCAACAAUCUGAUAUCCUUAUACAUACAAGCUACGUAGUAUCUGGUCACUUGGUGAGUAUGUCCAUCAAUGUUGUUUAAUCAUAAAUUGCUGACUAUGAUCCUACCUUUUUAUGUGAAUAUGCACAAAAAAAGAAAUGUAGCGCACUCCCUUCAUCCUUAGAGAAGAAUAAGAUAUUAACAAGCGUGUGCUACACUAUAAGAUGAUAUGUUAUGCCAGUACAUUCAUUUUUUUAAACAGGCUAGAAAGAGAACUAGUGAUAUUUGAAUUUCUACUCCCAAAUUGCCUUGGUGUUGAGCUUUGAUAUUCUUGAUAAAUUUCCCCGCUCAUAAACAGGCAUCCUCACAGCAAUCGGAACUAAGUAUGCUCUCCUAAGCUUUCAUCUAGUAUCAUCGCACAUCUUAAUGAUAAUAUGCGAUGCUGAAUAAGUAGAACACAAAACAUUAAGAAAGCAUACAGCUGAUAUUUUGACGGGCGUUGAGCUCGCAGUGCUUUGGUCUUCUCCUCCAAGGAGAACCUCUCAUACAAUGCCACAAUGGCAACAGCAACCUGGGAAAGGAAAACAGGGCCUGCCACAGCAUCUCCAGCAUUACUUCCUUUUUCACCAGCACCUCCACCAGCUCCAACCUCGCCCUCUCCUCCACCAGCUGCACCUACACCAACAACCAAGCAAUACGCCAUCUGCAGCACUGCCUCCUUCACUGCUGCAAGAGCAAAGAGUCUCCCAUUGCUUUCACCAUACAGAACCCCAAGCUGUGCGCCUAACAAUGAGAUGCCCUCAACCAGCCUCGGGCACUCAAACCUCAUGGCCCUGGGAUCAAAACCUACACCCUCACUGCCAUCCCCAUUGUGCAUCCCCUCCAGCGAGCACCCAGCCUCCGCCGCCAUCACCUUCAAGCAGAGCCACAGCAGCACCCAGAUAUGGUCGGCCUCCGCGACGUGGACCUUGACCCCGUACCUCGGUGAGCUCCCAAGCACCCACCGCCGCAGCUCGGCCUCCCACCGCGGCGUCACACCCAAGCGGAACGCGGCCGCCACCCGUGUUACGGCGUAGGAGCACGACCCCGGGAGGUGGUGCCCCCCCGCGCCCCAGGAGUCCAGCUCCCGGCGCAGGAGGCUGAGCUCCGACGGCAGGAUGCGGGGCGGCGGGGAGGGGCUCUGGGCGGUACUUAAAGAGGAGAAAUCCGCGCACUCGGCAGCGAUGACUGCGGGGAGGGAGGAGACCGCGGGGAUCGGGGUGGGGGUGGUGCGGACGACGGCGGGGCAGUCGGAGUAGGGGGCUGGGGCGGCCGGGAGCGGGAGGGUGAUGGCCGUGGCGGGCGGCGGGACUGGAGGGGUGGCGGUGGUGGUGGGCUGAGGUGAGGGGAUGCUGGUUCGGGGGCUGGUUGGGUGGGGGAGGAGAGAGGAGGGGAGGGCGGCGAGGGCGGAGGACGCGGCGGAGAGGAGGGAGCGGAGGCGGGCGAGGGUGGAGGUAAGGUCGGGGGGUGGAGGUGGCGGCGGAUGGGAUGGAGGAGGGGCAGGAGGGAGAGGCGGCGCCUCCAUCGGAGCGGAGCGGAUACCACGCCGGCGGAGGAGGGUUUCGAAGGGGAGGUGCGACGGCCGUCGGUGGCCUCCGGCGGCGGAGACGAAAUAGGUAAAGGUGCGGUCGGUGCGGAGAGACUAUGCUGUUUGGUCGUUCGAUGCGCGUCUGAUCGGAAAUCGACGGUGUGGAUCGCUAAUUGAACCCUUUUUUUUUUACUUUCUACUUAAAUAUACAUGGCCCCUUGACAUUGUAUUCAAACUUUGAUAAAAAAAAUAUUUAUUAAAUCGGUUAGUUUGGUAAAGUGAAAUGAGGAUAUUAGAUCUAACAUCAAAACUAAUUGAAAUUUAUUUUUAUGUUUAUCUAUUUGCAUAAAUAUAUUCAUAGGAAAGGCAAAAAGGCAAACAAAUAAAAAAAUAAUGGUAUCAUAUUAUUAUAUUUAAGAAUCCGUAAUGCUCGAGAUAGGGCGUCUGACGUCCGGGUGAAAUAUCGGACGCAAGCCCCACCCACCGCUUCCUGCCUUAUCUAGAUGUCACCCACCGCUCAUUUCACACCAUCAAAUAUCUCUUUCUCCAAGAUGCAGGCCAUGAACGAGGGAGGAGCUUCCCGCGGCGAGGGGCAUGGCCGCGGGGAAGCUGCUCCGCCAGAGAAGCUGUGCCGGCCACCGCUCCCCCACGGCCAAGGGCGAGCUGCACCGGUCGCCGGAGGAGCUCCACUGGGAAGGGCGUCGCUCGAGUGUCGGGGGUGCAGGCCGCUGCUCCCCCGCGGCCAGGGGCGAGCCGCGCUAGCCGCCAGAGGAGCUCGCGCCGAGCGCCGCUCGAGUGCCGGGGGCGCGGGCCACCACUCCCCCGCGGCCACGGGCGAGCCGCGCCAGCCGCCGUCAUCCUCCUCCUCCUCCACCGCUUCCUAGUGUCAGAUCUCACUGUGCAGUGCUCCUACAGCCAAGGUUUGCUGCAUGUUGCAAGCGUAUGUUUCAAGUGUUUCAGAUGUUUCAGAAAAAUGUUGCAAGUGUUUCAUAUGGAUGUUGCAAAGUAGAUCUAGAUGUUGCAUAUAUUUUACACACAUGUUGCAAGUGUUUUAUCUGGAUGUUGCAUUUUCAAUGAGAUUUGAAUGUUCCAUGCAAUACGAAACAGAUGUUGCAACGGGCUUUUUUCCCUCAUCAUCGAGAGAUGGCUAAUAAUUUUUUUCAACAUGUUUUUUGAUGUUGAAAACGGUGAUUUUCUAUGUUGCAAACGUUUAUUUUCUAUGUUGCAAACGUUAUUUUUUGAUAUUGUGAUGGACUAACGGAGCAUCUGAUGGGAAAACUCCAUGCGCUAGCAAUGCCCUUUAAAAAUAGAGGUAGUACCUUGAACCAGAGAUAGCUAAAAUAAGUUAGCUUCAACAAAUGUGCAAGUCCAAGUAUUGGUGAUGCAAGCAAUACGUGGGUUGCCAUUGUAAGUCAAAUGAGUUAAGAAGAUAAAAAAGGAGAUUAGCUAGCUAGAACGCAGCCAAAUUUAUAAGGCUAGCUAGAGAGGGAGAUUGAAAGGGCUGGCUAGAGAGGAAGGCAAAUCUAUGAUAUUAGUUAGGUUAGUGGAGACGGUGGAGAUUGUCACAGAUUGAGAUUUUUUUUUUGUGAUAAAGGGUCAUAGAUUGAGAUUUGAGAGAACGAGAGGAACAACGAGCUACUUCAGCAACUGAUCCACAUCUGUUUUAUUGUAUUUUUCGUCAGUCAUAUGCCCCAAAGUGACUGUUGCGCCAACGAUCAGGGAUCAAGCACCGUAUUAGCACAACAGCGUUUAAUCAGUGGCUGCAGAGCUCCUCGUCAAGCUUGUGACUGUCUGGCGGAUACGCUUUCGUCCAACGUUCGCAACCAACAAAAAGACCGAACAGGAGAUACACCAUUCAGAAAGCCAUCUGAGAGAUAAACCAAAACUGCUGAACACAAACUGUCAAUAAACAGUGAACCUAAACACCACGAGAAUACAACCACGACAGGGUGAAAAUUCUCAGUUCUUUGAAGCUAGAGUUGAUUCACUUUCAGAAAAUAGGUGUUCAUCAGGUCUGCAACACGACAUAACAUACUUGUGGACUAACAAAACCCAGAGUAAAGGAUAAGAUAAGCCGCCCUUCGAGCAAGAAGAUGC
rnacentral:lncRNA from 1 species